CGUGGGCGACGGAGUGGAGGAUCUCGCCCCCGGCGACCAUGUGGUCCCCAUCUUCAACGGCGAGUGCGGGGCGUGCGCCUACUGCAAGUCCGGCAAGACAAACCUGUGCGGGACCUACCGCGUCAACCCUUUCAAGAGCACCAUGACCUCCGACGGCGGCACGAGGUUCUCCGUGGUGGACGCGUCGUCCGGCGAGCGCCGGCCGGUCUACCACUUCCUCAACACGUCCACCUUCGCCGAGUACACCGUGCUGGACGCGGCUUGCGCCGUCAAGGUCCACCCCAAGGCGCCGCUGGAGAAGAUGUGCCUCCUCAGCUGCGGCAUCUCCACAGGUAAAGGAAUCAGCUUCCUGUACGUUUUGCUCUCUCUGUUUAUAAAUUAUUUGAAUUUGAACAAAUUAAUAGAAAAAUAGAUUAAUAUAUAUACAAUAUCAAAUAAAUGCACACCUGACAAGAUUAAAAAAAGUUUGAUGCUAUAAAUAUUUGUGUAUUAUAUAAAUUUGAUUGAAGCUAGAAAAGUUUGAUUUAGGAUAAAAUUAAAAUACCUAUAAUAUAAUUUGAAAUGGAGGAAGUAGCUUUGAAAACAAUUAAUUGGUUGAUUUGACGUGGCAAAUUGCGCUGGACUAAUUUGACAUGCGACGACGUGGACAUGGUGUGGCCGCUGCACCAUCCUGUGUCAUCCUGUGUGUUUAGGAGUCAUAGGAAGGCAUCGUUCAGAGUCAUGCAUCAUUGUACCUUCGUUUGAGAGCAUAGGUUCUCGUGCCUCUAGAGGGUUUAAACCCUUGUAAACUUUGACAACCAAGCGUAUAAAAAGUACAUUUUAAUUGGUCAAAAAAUGCAAAUGGAUACAUCUGUUGACGUUUGGAAGCAAAGCUAACUCUACAACUACACUUUUAUACCCACUACUCCCUCCGCUCCAAAUUAUAGGUUGUUUUAGCUUUUCUAGAUUCAUCCAUAUAUGUUUGUAUGCAUCUAGACAUACACUAUAUAUUUAGAUGCAUACAAACAUAUGUGCACCUAAAAAAAGCUAAAACGAUCCACUACUAGAGAACUGACCUUCCAUCCAGGUACUCUUAUCCUGAUUGACUUUGGACUCGGGACUAAAGUGUCUUUAGUCUCGAGUCAAAAAUGAGGUCCCGAUGGGCACCGGCAAGAAGGGCUUUAGUCCCGGUUGUAAAAACCAAUUGGGACUAAAGCCCCCAGUCCCGGUUGUAACGGUUAGAAAUAUCGUACCGACAUCCCCUGCCCCGGUUGGAAUUACAAAAGAUUCCCUCCCCCCGAGGUCCCUUCCCACUCUGCCCCCCUCUUCAUUAUCUUUCUCUCCUCCUCCUCUCCCAUUCUUCCAGGCACCUUAUCCUCUUCCUUCUCUUUCUCUCCUCCUCUCCCAUUCUUUUCCAAGCAGGCGGCCGGGCCUCCGGCGCGGGCAAGCCGCGGGCGGUGAAGGCAAGGAGGAGGUGGCGCGAGUCCGGGUAGGCGGCCACGGGCGGUGCAGGUCCAGGCGGACGGGCCGCGCGGCGCGGGCGGGCGGCCGCGGAAGGCCGGUGGGUGGCGUAGCGCGGGCGGGCCAAUUUUUUUUAUUUUUUUUGAAAAACCAACCGGGAUUAAUGCCGCAUUUUCCAGUAGUGACCUAUAAUUUGGGACUCCUGGGACGGAGUAAGGUCGCAUUAAUCAAUCAACGUCCAGUUGUGUAAGAUUUGUCUACUCAAAAUUGACUCCCUAUGCUAUGAAAAGCUAAAGUCCUAGAAUUUUUCUUGUACCCAGGAUAUAAUUUUUGAUCUUAGACUGGUUGUAAUCGCAAAAGAGGAAGACCUUAGACUAGUCUUACAGGUCACUUUAUUUGGAAGUAAUUGUGAUUGUGACGGUUCAUCCUGUCACUGUCUCUAACUUUCUAGAAGUUUCUACGAGUGCCUCACCAACGUAGCAAUCGAUAUGAACUGGGCUUGUAUAAUGAAAACAAUUUACCUGCGGGAUGAAAUCGUUGUCGUGGUACCAACACACAUCCAUGUCCAAGGAGGCUCGUAAUUUACUGAAGAUGUCUGUAGGUCGACAAAGACUGCAGCGGUCUCAUUCGUGGGUUCGUGACAAAUAAUGAAUAGGAAUAAUUCUACAGGAAUUUUUCAUGUGAACUGACCAGUUCUCACCACAUUGUGCGCGAGACUACCAUGAGCUCGCUUCAGAGAAACUUUAUCCAUUACUGAUCAUUCAAAUAACUGUUUCAGUUGUCCUCUGUUUGGCAUCAGGUGUUGGGGCUGCAUGGAACACUGCAAACGUUUCUACGGGGUCCACAGUGGCAGUAUUUGGGCUUGGUGCUGUUGGUCUCGCGGUCAGUAAAACUUAAACAUUUUCCCUCCAAAUUAAAAGGAGGUUUACCUCUCGAUCUAAGCUUACCAUAAAAUGUGUUUAACUAUUUUCUAGGUUGCUGAGGGUGCCAGGCUACGUGGGGCAGCUCGGAUCAUUGGUGUAGAUAUAAACCCCGAAAAGUUCACCAAAGGUGCGCAGCCACGUCUUUUCCCUAUAUCUUUUCUCUUUCUUUUGGCAAUUUGUCCUACUUUAGCCAUUUUCACAUCCUUGAUAUAAGUGAUGAAACAAUGAUGGAUUAGAUCCCAACUGAAAUUUUCUCAUGCAAAACGCAAAGAUUAAAAACCUUGCCAACAGCAUGCAUAUAUCUUUUCCAUGUGAUGGAUGUUAUUUUCUAACUGAAAAAUCAGAGUAUGCCAAUAGUACCAAUUAAGAAGAAAGCAACACAUAAUUUCAAACUUGUCAAUUAAUUCUAUUCUCAGUUUCUACCUCCUGUCAGCAAGGCCUUGCUCUGCCUUUAACGCCACUUUAUGUUGAACUGGAGGUAGUUGUUUUGUUGAAGUUGAGGAAAAUCACGAUGACAUUUUUUGUUCAACCUAGCGUGUGCUCGUUUCUUUUUCCAAUAUGGGGUCAACGAGUGUCCCAUGCAUGCCCUGCCUUUCUCGUUGAAAAUGUUCCCACAUGUCUCUGUCAGGGAACAAAAAGGACACAGCAAGUUGCGGUAAAAGAAACUCACAAAAAGAGCCCAAAGGAAAAUGCUCAAAUAAUAUCUGUUUCAACUUUCGACUAAAAAAAUUCGUCAAAUUGUUUUACCUUGUCACUGCUUUUGUAGAUAGCGGUUUUUUGGAAAUUUUUAACAGAAAAGGGCUCGAACCUUCAUGUGUGUUAUCAAUUAGCAGAACGUAAUUGUAAUUUGUCAAUUCAUUGAAGCCUUGCCUGGCUGAACCCACCUUUUUUUCGUUUGAAGUUGCGCUACAUCGCGUACAAUGUCUGCGUGAAACGGAAAAUCUGCGUGAUGAAGGUCGAAUUAUUAAAUGCAGUGGGUACAAGCAGAACUUUGCAGCUAUAGAAGUCUACCCGGCCCGUGAAAAUUGCAGUUCUUUUUCUUUGGAAAAGCUGCUAAUUGUGAUGGAAACACUACAACAGAGAUAUUCGGUGCUGCUGAUGAUCUACUAGAUAUUGACUAACAACGAACUUAACAUAUAUACAAGAAGGUGUUUUCGCAAAAGAAAAAACAAGAAGGUGCUAUGGAAUUUUUUAAAAUCAUCUAUUCUUAACGCUGACUUGAAAUGUGUCUUCAGGGAAAGAGAUGGGCGUCACGGAUUUCAUCGACUCGAAGGCCUGUGACAAACCGGUCCAUGAGGUACAUACGUACGCCUUUUUAUUCUUUUUGCAACAAAAUGUAUAUCAAGCUUUUCAUUUUUCUUUUUUGCGAAUAAACCUUGUCAUUGGUUAGCUUUAUACAGUGUGCUGUGUUAAGCAGGACUGAAUUGAUGCGCAGGUGAUCAGGGAGAUGACGGAUGGGGGCGUCGACUACAGUUUCGAGUGUACCGGGAUUAAUGAUGUGCUGAGAGAGGCUUUCCUGUCCACACAUGAUGUAUGUCGAGCUUAUCUAUCGAUCUAUCUGUCUGUAUCUGUAUCUAUACCUAUCUAUCUACCUCUAUAACUUUGAAAGUCAUGGAUGCGGCUACAUUAUAUGCAGGGUUGGGGCCUGACGGUGGUACUGGGGAUCCAUGCGACACCCAAGAUGAUGCCGUUGCACCCGAUGGAGCUCUUCGACGGCCGUCGGAUCACCGGCUGUGUCUUCGGCGACUUCAAGGGCAAGUCCCAGCUGCCUGACAUCGUGGACAAGUGCAUGAGUGGGGUAUGCUUACUCACUGCAUCUUCUGCUGUAAAAUUAAGUUUCUACUUUCUACCAUAUUUUGUCCUUCUAUUUUAUUUCUCUCCCUCACAGGAAGUUUUAUUUUGUGAGACCUUUUAUGAAUUAAAGAGGUGCCAAAUUAGUUUUUGCUUCAUGGUAAGUUGUUCUUUUGUUAUUUCAACAGGAGCUGAAGGUAAAUUUUGAUGGGUUCAUAACGCACAAGAUGCCCUUCUCGGACACCAACAAGGCCAUCCAGCUUCUGGAGGAAGGCAAGUCACUUAGGUGCGUGCUCCAUUUCUGAUGGAGAGUUUAGCCCUGUUUAUGUUACAAAAAUAAAUGUAGAGUUUUUUUAACCAGUGCUGAGUUGUAUAACACAUGUGCAUCGGUGCUAUCUAUUGUAAAAAUGUGUGCGAUUUGAGACAUUUAUUCAGAAGGACAUAAUAUUUAUCAUUUCUGAUACAGCUUGCUUCUUUUGUACUCCCUCCAUCCUGUAAUCACUAGUAGAGAAUUGGCUUUCCGUGCCCCCUUUUAUCCCGGUUUAAAGUUGGCCCGGGAUAAAAGGUUCACCAACCGGGACUAAAACUCGGUCACUGGUGGGGGGCUCACCAACCGGGACCUUUUAUCCCGGUUGCAAAGGCUAGUGGGAAAAAAAGACUCUGAGAGGCCUUUUAUCCCGGUUUGAAACACCAACAAGGUGACUGGAAGGUGACUGGAAGAGGAUUAAAUCCUCGAACCCUUUUAUCCUGGUUUGUAAUACCAACCGGGAUAAAAUGGGGUCUUUUAUCCCGGUUGGUGUUCCUCCACGAGUUAAUACAAAAGGAUAGCAUCCCCUACAUAGUCAGAUGUGGUGUGUAGGUGGGAUGGCAAGGAAGCUACGCGUGAGGCUGGAGGUUGUGGGUUCGAAUCCCACGAACCGCGCACGCGCAUAUUUCGUGUGAAAAAUCGCAUGACUCGUGCGGGGGGCACCUCCUGGGAGCUCGGGAAUUUUUUUUUUUUGCAGCGCCGGCCGUGGGUGACCCGUUUUAUCCCGGUUAGUAAUACCAACCGGGAUAAAAGGGGGGUCUUUUGUCCCGGUUGAGUGACCCGGGAUAAAAGAUCCCCCUUUUGUCCCGGUUGGUUUAUCCCUGAUGGAUUUUCAGGAUAUUUGCACCCUACCAACCGGGACUAAAGCCCAAUUCUCUACUAGUGAAUACAAGGCAUCCAAUCAUUAAAAUAUCGCAUUGUAUGCAUAUUUGGAUGAUUGCUAAUUUAAUUCUUUCCAAAAUUGACAAGAUAAAAGGUGGCUAAUUGAUGGAUUAUUACUAAAAAUAAGUUAUCAUUGAAAUAGCCAGACAACACAACUCCUCAGUAUAUACGUCUUUUGCUACUCCUGCUAAUAUGUCCUAAAAUCUCUAAGAUGUCUUGUAUUUCAAGAUGGAGGGAGUAUAUUCGUGUCGUAGAAUCUCCAUUAUAUUUAUGUCCAUUAAUAGGCGGGAUUUACUGUCAUUUAAUUAGUGUCACAUGCAAGUGUUCGGCUAAAUGUCUCUCCACAUGAAGAAACAGUAAGCCCAAGAGCCCAAUACGGCCUGUAGCGUGUGACCCAUUGAUUGCCACCUUGAUGGACAGUGGAGAUGGGUUUGGGAGCAAACCCUAGCCUCUUAUAUACCUUGCUCAGGUGUGUGAGAGAGGUGCUGAAGAGCCAAGAGAGCACCAGCCAUGUUCAGCUCAUAUAACAACAAAGGAGAGACAAGAGAAGAGAGGAGAAGAAACUCGCUGUCAGAUUGGUGUGUCUGGUACAACUAUCAUCUGUGGCGGAACCACCUAAAUUAACCUGGCUAAAGUGUAUUUAAGUUGCCUAACACGCAAUCAUGCAUCUUAAGCCAGUCAACUUAGUCGACCGUCGGAUUUCCUCCGAUAAACUACAUAUACAGGAUCGAGAAGCAUUGCUCACACGAAGGUGAGUGGUUAAAGAGAUUACAAUAUUCCCAUCACAUUAACAUAGUUCAAGAAUUUAUUACAUUAGAGUUUAGAAAUUCAGACAGAAUUUGGACGGUUUCAAACAACGAAAAAGUAAAACAUGCGGAAACUAAACGUCGAUACACGAUAUCAUGAUGAAGUCGAUCAUGACAUCAAUAACCCUUGUCCUCACCGUUCAAGGAGGGAUCCCACUCAACCACCAACCCGGAGGGAGUUGGGUAGGCCAAGUGACGCUAGCAGCCAAAACAUUGACAUCUAAGUUACAUGAAUGUAAAGCCACAAGCAAGGCUGAGUAUACUAAUACUCAACAAGACUUACCCGUCAGGUGGCAACUACUCCACCGACUCCUAGACAUGCAAGGAUUUUUAGCUGAGGGGUUUGUUAGCCAAAAGCAGAUAAAGUAGAUCCUUACUUUCGAGUUUUAGCAUCAGGUUCUAGUCGAUUAACUAUUCUAGGUAAGCACCUAUUCUAAGCAAGCAUGUUUGAACAACAAUUUAAUCAAGCAUCAGUAUUAUUCAUCAUCCUUUGUUUCACUUCUUACUCAGUGCAGAAGUGGGUCAAGCAGUCUCAAACUAUGAGAGACAAAUGAUUUGAAUCGAGUUUCUUAACCUUGCAAGGUGAACCUAAUCCCAUGACAUUGCGUACCACGACGGGUUCACACAUGUCAGCCGUCCCCAUCAAUUCCCAAGCACGUGGCUAGGGAUCACAUCCCUUGGAUACAAGGCUCCACGAUCCUAGAAUGUCACUGUACCAUGACUGCACUUGUACCCACAUGAUGCAUCAGGGGAACUCCGUUCAAGAGAGAGCAGGGAGUAUGCCCACAUCUCGAUUCAAUCAAGUACUAGGCUUUCCUAUCCGAUACUAGGUAUGAGAUUAGUACUUUCAAAUACUUGAUCACAGCUCUAAACACAUUUCGACCUUAACAUCUUUUCCUAGAUAGACGGGGAAAAAAAUUUCACCAAGACAGAACCAAAGCUUGGCCCCGUCCAUCAUCCUUAUGGUUGGAGUGUAAGUAAAACAAGCAACUCCUAUAGCUCGCGAGUGACAGGAAAUCACUCGACUUUUACCGAGUCCUAUUUAGCACAGCAACUACUCAGCCUAUCAUGCUAGUAUUCAACACAUAGGUACCUAGGAUCAUGCCACUAGGGUUUCAAGCAACUCCUAUGAACGUAAAUGCACAAACAUAAGCAAUAUAAGCAGUACAUAAAUGUAGAAAACUAGGAUACGCUUCGGGACUUCUCUUCCUGAACUAUGUUAGUUAGUGGGUCGCUGAAAGCUUCUGGGAUCUCCUGCUCGACCUCGACAUGGUGCAGCUUGACAGAUCCUUCCUCCUCAGCAAGCGUCAACUCGUACGUUCCGUCUGCGAGGUUCGCUUCUACAUGAGAUGCAUAUGCAAAAGUUCAAUUUUCCAUGCUUUCAUAUGCAGGAUGCAAAACAUGAAUUAUUGUUGAAGCGUAAAUUGCAUUUCGACCACAUUCACCUAAAUAAUGUUCUAAACUUUCAUUAUCUUCAUGCAGUAAGGUAUGCUGUGAUAUUAAAUCCGGAGUUGACUUUGAUGGUGAUUGUGUACCCAUAUAAGGUUUUACAACUUAGACUUCACAAAGAAAGGUGGGGUCACUCUAGGGUUUCUUAAGGAUCAUUUGGAAAGUUAUCCUAUUUCAAAAUGUUUUUCUGUACCUCUUCUGAAAUUACCAUUUCACCCUUAUUAUUACUUAAUUUGUCUCUAUUUCCUUUCCUUAGCUUUAACUUCCAUAAUUCAUUUCAGCGGCAUAUGAUUGGCUAUGGGUGUGAAACUUUUACAGACACUUCUCACUACCAUUCCUAAUCUAAUGUAGAAAUUUGGAGUCCAUUUGGUUAUUACAAAAAUCACCAAAAUUAUUUCAUUAUCCUAAGGUAGCAAGCACUUAACUAUUUUUAUCUUGUUUUACAAAGACAGUUUAUUGCCUUUAACAGUGAGUUACAUAGGUGCAAAAGAGGCUUUGGUGAAUUUUCCAUGAUUUUUGGUGAAGGACACCUAUUUUCAUAUUUUUCCUUCAUUUAAACUUGUACAAAAAAUUAAGCAUGUUUCACUCGGUCUCCUGCAGAAGCAUUAUGUUUUCCUAGCACUAGCUUAAUGACAAACCUAUCAGAAGUGGUUUUUCAAUUUUACCAUUUUUUAUAUGAUUUACUAUGCAUUUAAUGGCUUAAACAAGAUUUAAAACCUAGAGAACAAUACAUAAUAGUGACAUGUGUACAAAUAUUUUUUUGUGAAACUACACAUCUUAAGGAUUCCAACAAAACUAGUUUGACAUUUCUUGGAAUUUUCUAGAACUAGUUAUGCAUUUCCAAAGUUCAGUUUAUUUAAAUCAAUCUUAAAUCAAACAGGCGCUGGCAGCUUUACAGGUGGCCUCUUAAGGUUUUCGAAUUAUCGCAGAUAGGUCCCUAAAACUUACACUGAGGCCCCUAGAGAAAUCAAAGUGAAAAGGCCCUCGCGGCGGCCGGCGACAAGUUCGGCGAAAUCCCGGCGAACUACUGCGCAAAAGGAGGAACCAAGGGCACGAGCGCGUGUGUGUGCUCACCUUGAGCAGGGUUGGUGCAAGCUGGGCGGCAGUGAUGGCGAGUAGGUGGUGAACGGACUUGGGGAUGAAAAGUGGGUGCAGCGGCAAGGAGCUCUGGUAUUCCAGCCCUGGCGACGUCGCUGGAGGGCAAAGGAUGGCGGGCUAAGCAUCGCGCGGCGGCGGCGAAGCUAGCGGGGGCGGUGGUGAGUGGCGGUGCUACGUGGGCAGAGGCUCUCCACGGCGGGGUAGCAUGACGGCUUGCGGAGUAGAUGAGUAGGUAGGGGGUGAUGGAGCGGUGAGCUCUCGGGUGGCGCAGUUCUGCCUUUUAUAGGCCCGGGGAGGUGCGGGGCUGCAAGGCAGAGCCAACGGGCGUGCAGGGCAUGGCUGGAGGUGAGCGGAGGUGGAAAACCAGGGGGCACCAUUGGACGACAAUGUUCACUGGUGAGGGAGGAUGCGGGCUCAUGGGCAAUCUUGCGGCCAUUGGCCUGAGAGGAUAGUGAGCGCGAAGGAGCGGCUUUGGCGGGCGGAGCAGUUGGCAAAGCUAGGCUUUGUUUUGUCUCGUCAAGUGGCGGACUGGUGGAGGCGGAGCCGUCCACCGGGCGGCAUCACCGUGGCGAAGGAAGUUGGGGCGAAGCGCGGUGCGGGUUGGGCGAAGGAGAUAAGAACGGCGUGGGUUGGGCGAAGGAGAUAGUGCGCCAGAGGGGAGGAUAAACUCGUCGGGCGGUUGGCUAGCUCGGGCGUCGUGCCGUCCCAUUGCGCCGGCGAUAGGGCAGCGACGGCUCACCGGUGAAGCGUGGCCACACGACAGACAGUGCGCGGGAGCACGCGGUGUGCGCGCUCUGGCAAGGUGGUGCGAUGCAGUGCUACGAAGGGAGCCAAGCUUAGAACUGAUUUAAUUUUGAAUUUUUUCCAAACUAUGAUUUGUUGUCCUCAUGUCAAACUUCAAUUGCUACAAAAGGUUUGGGUUCAAAAUCAGGCUAGAUUUGCAUAUCCAAGGUCUCAAAGUUUGGUCGAAUGCCUAAAAUUCAAACUUAGCUGAUUUUCACAUUUUGGGCUGAGUUGUCUGUUUUAGCUAAUUUUGAAUCCAUUUUUGAAAAGGUUCUGGGGAGUUUUGGGUCAGGGUCAAAUAGUCAAAGUUGUAGUAGACUCGUAGCCCUCAAACUUCUAUCAAGGGUUUGGCUCGAGUUCAAAAACAAAUUUGUGAGAAACAGGGCUGCCAAUUUGAGGAAUUUCACUAUUUUCAGCACUUGAGUUUUUGAAGUGAUUUUGAAUUGCUAAUGAUUUUAAUUCUAGUUUUUUAACCUCUUCCCCUCAAGAUCAAUCAAAGUGAUAAUAAGGAAAGUUGUUGGGUUUGUAAAGUUUUACAACUCUUAGAUUGACAAAAAUUCAAGUUCCUAUAUAAAAUUUCAAUUUUUAAAUUGACCCCAAAUUGAGCUUUUAAGGGCAAAUUUGACCUUUCACUUGCUAGAUUAGUGUCUAAGUCUCCUAUUCAAGCUUAACCAAGUUUAGUUUAACUAGAGUUGUUACAGCCUACCCCCCUUAAAGGAAUCUCACCCCAAGAUUCGAGUAAAGUGAGACAGGUGUGGCUGUGUACGCACCUCCCUGAUCGAAAAGAAGACCACGGAAGUGCGUGUUAAGAUAUUCCUCCUUUUCCCAUGUUGCUUCAUCUUCGGUGUGAUGACUCCAUUGGGUCUUAUACAUUCUCACCACUUGUCUUGGAGUGUGUCUUUCCUUCCGGUCGAGGAUUUUGAUGGGAAAUUCCACAUAGGAUAAAUCGGGUUUGAUUUCAAGCUCCUCUUGUUCAGGAAUUUCCGUCAGGACUCGAGCACAUUUCUUAAGCUGUGAGACAUGGAAGAUGUCAUGUAUCACUGGAAGCUUCUCGGGGAGUUUAAUCUGAUACACCACUAGUCCGCAUAUUUCCACAAUCUCAUAUGGACCAAUGUAGCGUGGAGCCAACUUUUCCUUUAGUCCAAAUCGUUGUAGGCCCUUAGUCGGUGAAAAUCGGAGGUAUACAUAAUCACCAAUUUCAAAUUGUAUCGGCCUCCUCCUUUUAUCAGAAUAACUCUUUUGUUUGGACUAAGCGGCUUUAAGGUUUUCUCUGAUUACUCUCACCUUCUCUUCUGCAUCAGUCACCAAGUCGGGUCCAUAUACUGUUCUUUCUCCUGCCUAGGACCAACUUAGCGGAGUUCGACACCUUCGCCCAUACAAGGCUUCAAAGGGUGCCAUUUCAAACUAGCUUGGUAGCUAUUGUUAUAAGAGAACUCUGCUAACGGUAGACACUUAGCCCAAUUCUUAUCAUAAUGGAUGACACAAGCAUGUAGCAUAUCUUCUAAAAUCUGAUUUACCCUCUCUGUUUGUCCAUCUAUCUGAGGGUGGUAUGUGGAACUAUGGAUUAGCUUGGUGCCAAGUGCAGCGUGCAGAUGCUCCAAAAACAUGCUACAAACUAGGCGCCUCGAUCGGAGAUGAUCGUCUUGGGCACUCCAUGUAAGGAAAUGAUACGGUCUAGGUAUAGCUUCCCAUAUCUCUGAGUGGAGUAGGUGGUUCUUACUAGGAGAAAGUCAGCCAUCUUAGUGAGUCUAUCCACUAUGACCCAUAUGGAAUCGUGCCUCUGGGAAGGGUUGGGUAACUCAACAAUGAAGUCCAUGCUGAUAUCUUCCUAUUUUCAUAAGGGUAUGGGUAGCGGUUGAAGUGUACCUGCUACCUUCAAGUGACUUGCUUUCACUCUCUGACAUGUAUCACAUUCCGACACAUACUUAGAAAUCUCUAGCUCCAUCCCAGACUACCAGAAAUUUUUUCAGAGGUCAUGGUACAUUUUGGAGCUGCCAGGGUGAAUAGAGAAUUUAGAAAGGUGUGAUUCAUCCAAAAUUUGCUUUCUGAGAUCGGGAUUGGCGGGAACAACUAGUCGGUCCUCAUACCAUACUACUCCCUUCCAAUCCUGUCGGAAAUGCUUGUAUCCCUCAUCUUUCUGUGCCAACUUCUUCUUGAUGAGCUUUUUCUCCUUGUCCUCCAACUAUGCCAAGAUGAUUUGGUCAUCCAAGGUGGGUUCGAUAGCUAUGUGGCUCAAUGUGCCAUGAGGAAUAAUCUCCAAAUUCAGCUUUCUCAUCUCAGAACACAAGGUCUCCGUGAACUUAUGUGCAGAGAGACAGUUGCAAUGAGCCUUGCGGCUAAGAGCAUCAGCAACUACAUUGGCCUUUCCUAGAUAAUAAUGCAACUCUAAAUCAUAAUCCUUAAUCAACUCCAACCAUCUUCUUUGGCGCUCAGCUUGGGUGAAGAUUUACUUGAGGCUCUUAUGGUCGGUAUAGAUGUUACAAUGAGUGCUCAUAAGAUAAUGUCUUCCACAUCUUUAGAGCAUGUAUUACCGCUGCUAGCUUUAUGUCGUGAGUUGGGUAAUUCUGCUCAUGUGGCCAUAAUGCACGUGAAGCGUAGGCAAUGACUCGGUUGUCUUGCAUAAGAACAUAUCCAAUUCCAGUGCCAGAAGCAUCACAAUAGACGUCAUCAGCUUGGUAGUGUCGUGCUAUGCUAAAACCAGUGCAGAGGUCAGCAGUCUUCUCAACACGUUGAAAGCUUCUUCACAUUUUUCACUCCACACAAAUUUGACUCCUUUCUUCAACAAUUCAGUCAUUGGCUUAGCUAUCUUCGAGAAAUCAGGAAUGAAUCAUUGAUAGUAGCCUGCUAGACCAAGGAAGCUUCGGAUUUGAGGAACCGAAGUGGGUGGCUUCCAAUCCAUCACUUCCUGUACCUUGCUUGCGUCAACUGCUAUACCUUCGCUGGAUAUGGUAUAUCCCAAGAAUUUCACACUAUCUAGCCAGAAAUCACAUUUGGAGAAUUUGGCAUACAACUGGUGAUCCCUUAGUCGUUGAAGAAAAAUGCGGAGGUGUUCAUUAUGUUCCUCCUCAUUCUUGGAGUACACGAGAAUGUCGUUAAUGAAAACCACGACAAACUUGUCAAGCUCGGGCAUGAAAACCGAAUUCAUGAGAUACAUGAAAUAGGAUGGAGCAUUUGUAAGCCCGAAGGACAUGACCAAGUACUCAUACAAUCUAUAACGCGUAGAGAAAGCAAUCUUAGGAAUGUCGCAUGGCCGGAUCGUGAUUUGAUGAUAACCAGAGCAGAGAUCAAUCUUGGAAAACACUCUGGCUCUAGCUAGCUGAUCAAAGAGAACAUCAAUGCGGGGUAAAGGGUACUUGUUUUUAUAGUUACCGAUUUGAGGGGUCGGUAGUCCACGCAUAUUCGCAGACUAUCAUGCUUCUUCUACACAAACAGAGCUAGAUAGCCCCAAGGUGACGUGCUUGGGCGAAUGGAACCUUUCUCUAACAGUUCAUGCAACUGGGUCUUUAAUUCUGCCAGCUCUGCAGGUGGCAUUCGGUAUGGUCUCUUGGAUAUCGGUGCUGUGUCCGGCUACAGUUCUAUGGCAAACUCAAUAUCGCUGUCUAGGGGCAUGCCUAGCAAGUCAUCCAGAAACACAUCAGGAUACUCGCACACCACGGGAAUAUCCUCUAUCUGAGACUCAAUGGCUGGGAACGUGAUGUAACACUGGCUCGAUCUUUCGAAAGGUAAUGAUAAAUUCAAUUGGUGGAGACUCGAUGUUAACGAUCUGGGCUUCUAAUCAUACACAAUUCGAAUUCCUACAACCGCUACACUGCUGCUCUGUUGGUUAUCAACCAAGCACAACUUGAUUGACCUCGCCGAGAAGGCUUUGCCCUGCAAGCGAAUCGAAGGACACAAGCUAGAAAGUAUAAACACGCAAUCUGAAAUUGCAAAUAUGAAUGAAGUAAAGAAGGGUUCAAGCUCUCAAUUCGAAAGGACUAAUCGACACAAUCGUGGAGAACAAGAACAUGGCCCUGGAUCACUGUAAAAGGACUUGUCGCCACAGUUACAACGAAUCAAUAUCAAUUUCUCAAACAAAAACUAGAACUAAACAAACCCGAGUUUCUAAGGCGGUGGCUACUGAGUUUAUAUCAAAAGGGGUGAACUAGGGUUGGGGGCGACCAGGGAGGGGCGCCCACAACUUGGGCUUAAGGCCCGACAUGAUAUAAGGCCAAGUUGGCCCAAAACUGGUAACAUAGUACCUUGUUGUAGUCACAUAGAAUGAUCCACGAACCUUCGAUGUUGUCGUUCCCAUUCAAACGCAUCAAAGAACGCCUCGUUUCGAUGUCGUAUGAGGGAGAUAUGGUCGAAACCGUGUAGGGGUAUCGGCUGAAUCUGAAACGAACGCGACGACCGAGUUGGUGAUAACUUGUAACUUGGGGAAGACCAUGACUCGUGUGUGUCCAGCAUGGUGAUGUCCUCAUCAUCCUCCCCUUCUUGAAUUGGAGUCGUCCUCGACUCCAUCUCAUCAUCAUCUCUCCUGCAAAAGGUUAGUCACAGCAGGAUGCAAAGUACAAGACAUAGGAUUAUCGGUAACACAAACAACUCGACAAAGCAUAGUAUAGCAAGGUGCAUCAUGAUUAUCACAUAAGGCAACAGUAGCUGCAGUGGUGGCAAGAUAAACACCCUCUUUUAAUUUAAUCCCAUUAUGUGUAGCGUGAGAUGGAACUAAUGCAUGACCAUUCUUAACAAUUUCAGCAAGCUCGUUAUGAUGUUUCCUAAUAUCCGCAGGAGAUAAAGAAAGGAAAGUAAUAUUCUUGUUUUGAUGCAUAAAAGUAUAUUUAUUAGUUCUGCCAUGGUGUAAAGCAUCAACAUCAAAUUUCCAUGGAUGGCCUAACAAAAGAAAGCAUGCUUGCAUAGGUACAACAUCAAAAUCAGCAUAGUCAUUAUAUGAGCCAAUAGAAAAAUGCACGCGCGUUGAUCUAGUUACCUUUAUCUUACCACUAUUGUUGAACCAUUGUAGGUGAUAUGGAUGCGGGUGCGCACGUGUGGUUAAACCAAAUUUCUCGACCAGAUCUAAACUCACAAGUUAUUACAACUCCCACUAUCAAUUAUGGUGAGAACACGGCGAUCCUUGAUGAUGAGAAACAUGUGGAACAAAUUGCAGCGUUGGAGCUUCUCUUCCUCAUGUCCCAGUUGGGAAGUCAACACCCACUGCACAAGAAGGCUCUCAUAACCCGUCGAGGCAGCCAGAGAAUCAAUGGCAACCUCCUCCUCUUUAUUCGCUUCAUCUGCAACAAUGUUAGCAGCAAGAACCAAUUCAUCUUCAACAUCACUAGCACUUACAUAUCCUGUUCCAUCAGCGGUGGCUAUGUAAGCACGAUGAUUUGGGCAAUCCGUCAUGACAUGUCCAAUGCCCAUGCAGCGGUGGCAAACAAUUUUGUUGGAGCUGUUCGGUGAUGUACUAGGGGCCAUAGCUUUCUUCUGUGGUUGGGACUGCACAGGAUACAAAUUUCUCACCUCGGAAGCAUGUGUAGUAGCAGAUGGUGUCGCUGGUGGCUGGGCAACAGAAGUCUUGGGCUUGUCAACAUCGGAACGCUGCUGCUGAAAAGAUCUUCCAGGGUUGGACCUGAAAGUGUGUUGUUGACAACAUCCCUGUACUUUUCUUUCAGCUUUAAGAGCAAGAUGAUAUAAUUGGUUGAACCUGUUCCAAUCUUUGUAAUCAAGAAUAUCAUGUAUAUCAUGAUUCAAACCACCAAAUAAUCUAGCAUAAGUAUCUUCAUCAUCCUCAUAUAUAUCACAACGUCGGUAACAAGGAGGAACAAAAUAAGAUUUCAAACAUUAUCUUAAAAUUUUCCAAGUCUGAGGUACAGCAUUGGCAUUAUUAUUAUUGCAAAGAUCAUUCCAUAAAAAAAGAGCAAAACCACUAAACUCACUAGUAGCAAGCCUAACUCUAUGCUCAAUAGGAACUAAAUGAGAAUUAAAUUUUUAUUCAACAAGUUUCCAAUCUAAAUAAGCCUCAAGAUCCGCAUUACCAGCAAAAGGAAUCAUGGUAAUUUUAUUUUUAGCAAAAGGAUCAUUAUUACCACAGUGAUGGUUAUUACCUCCCAUACCAUGACGAUUACGCCGAAGACGGUCCAUGUCAUGUGCAUCAUCAUUAAGAUCAGCAUCAUCAUCAUCCUCCAAACCAUCAUCAUGAGAGGUGGGUCGGCGUGGCGGCACUGGGGGAGGUCGUUGCUCAACAUGUUCAAUCCGAGUAACCAAAAUAUUAAUGUUGCGCAUCAAGUCAUCAAACUUCCCACGAUGUAGGCGCGCUGGUCAGCAAGAAGCUUCGUACACUCGUCCUUGGACACACACUCAUUGAAGUCCAAAGGGGACUCCACUCCUUUCCCUUUCCCUGACACGGUUAGAAGUUAGCAAAAGACAACCCAAAAGUAUUAUCCCUAUCAACUAGCAACUAUUGGGUGGUGGUGAAAGUGGAAAGCAAUAUCUUAGACGGCUUACCACCAUCUUGCAAGUGUUCUUACCAAAACCAACAGGGCAGUACAAUCUGUUGUGAAGCUUGGGUGUAAAAGUUGCAAGGAGAACCUGUACUGACAGAAGUAUAUGUGGAGCUUUGGGCAGGCACAAUAUGGUAGCAAGGAAAAAAUAAUAGCCGAAGCAGAUUAGCAAAGUUCAAUAAGUAUCCAAAGUACAAGUCACAAUUGCUGGCUAAAACGUGUCCCUAGAUGUAGCGCAACAAGUUGGAAUGAGCGACAGUGGAUAGAACUUAAAGAACAAGCAACCAGGAACUCAUGCAAUUGUUUUAUUUUUUUCCCUGAUUUUCCCUCCAGGACUAGUAGGAAGCCACUUUUUUAUUUUUCUCAACUAUUUUUUUUAUAUUUUUCUAUAAAUAGGGAUCACACAAGAUGGAACUACAAAAAUUUGCACCUUAAACAGAGGUGUGAUGUGGUCUACAGAAAAACAGGCAUGUUUGUUGAAAACCGUGCAACAACUUAGAGGCUUGAAAACUCCCACUUCCUGAAUUUUUUUUUGGGAAAGCUGCGAAUCGCAAAAAUGCUAAAGGGGUUGAACUGUAUGUGUAACUUUUCAUUCUAAAAAUUAAAAAAAAAUCACCUCAAUCGGAGUUCUGAGCGAAAAGUUAUGUAUCUUUUAAGGAAGGUCGCCGAAUCAGGAUUUGGCAAGGCACAACGCGGCUGCUAAAGCGGUAGCGGCUAGGGAAAAGCUUCCCUAUCCUUCCAACGCCAAUCACGGCUGAGCAAAGCUUCUUAGCAAGUAAUAUAAGGGCACAAACUUCCCUGGUAUGCAGCAACAGGUAUUCACCAGAUGAAUCAAGAACGGUUGCGAUGCCAAGGUGACACAAUGCGGCUUGCAACCUAUCUAGGGUUCGCGCGGCGAGAGUUCACACAAGGCGGCUAGCGGGGCAAGUCAAGUAAUGUGGGGGUCGACUUGUUGUUUGGAUAAAGGUGGAUGGGAUAGCGGCGGAAAAAAUCAAACUAUGAUGGGAGGUUGAAACUACGACCACGAACAUACUAAACCAGCAACAAGACUGGACGACGGACACAAACUGAACAAAGCGAAUCUGAAAUGAAAAUUGCAAAGGCUAAAAAGGUGAUAGGACAAUAGAAAGUGUAAAUAUUUUUGGGCUUUUUUUGGACUAUAGUUGUUGGACAGGAACUGAAUCUAAAGGAAAACACGAUAGUAUACCUCAUGGCUAACCUAGAAUCCUGAUACCACUUGAUGUAACACUAGCCCGAUCUUCCGAAAGGUAAUGAUAAAUUCAAUUGUUGGAGACUCGACGUUGACGAUCCGAGCUUCUAAUCAGACAUGAUUCGAAUCCCUGCAACCGCUACACCGCUGCUCCGUUGGUUAUCAAACAAGCACAACUUGAUUGACCUCGCCGAGAAGGCUUUCCCUGCAAGCGAAUCGAAGGACACAAGUAAGAAGGUAUAAACACGCAAUCUGAUAUUGCAAAUAUGAAUGAAGUAAAGAAGGUUUCAAGCUCUCAAUUCAAAAGGACUAAUCGACACAGUCGAGGAGAAUAAGAACAGGGGCCCUGGAUCACUGUAAAAGGACUUGUCGCCACAGUUACAACGAAUCAAUCUCAGUUUCUCAAAAGAAAAUUAGAACUAAACAAAACCCGAGUUUCUAAGGUGGCGGCUACUGAGUUUAUAUUAAAGGGGCGAACUAGGGUUGGAGCCGACCAGGAAGGGGGCGCCCACAACUUGGGCUUAAGGCCGGACAUGAUACAAGGUCAUGUUGGCCCAAAACUAGUGAUGCAACCAUGUUGUAGUCACACAUAAUGAUCCACGAAUUUCUAGAGCUUGGACCAGAACCAAAAGAACGGUGUCAUCGUCCCUGUUCCAACGCAUCAAAGAACGCCUCGUUUUGAUAUCGUAUGAGGGAGAUAUGGCCGAAACCGUGCAUGGAUGUCGGCUGAAUCCGAGCUGAAUGCGAUGAUCAAGUUGGUGACGACUUGUAACUUGUGGAAGAUCAUGACAAGUGUGUGUCCAGCAUGGCGAAGCGGUUGAAACUACAACCACAAACACACUAAACUAGUAACAAGAGUCGACUACAGACACAAACUCAACAAAGCGAACCUGAAACGGAAAUUGCAAAGGCUAAAAAGGCGAUAGGAUGGCGGAAAGUGUAAAUAUUUUUGGGCUUUUGGUGGACUAUAGGUGCUGACACUAACUAAAUCUAAAGGGGAAACAUGAUAGUAUACCUCAUGAGUAACCUGGAAUCCUGAUACCACUAGAUGUAGCACUGGCCUGAUCUUCCAAAAGGUAGUGAUAAAUUCGAUUGGUGGAGACUUGACAUUGAUGAUCCGAGCUUCUAAUCAGACACGAUUCGAAUCCCUACAACCGCUACACCGCUGCUCCGUUGGUUAUCAACCAAGCACAACUUGAUUGACCUCGCCGAGAAGGCUUUCCCUGCAAGCGAAUCGAAGGACACAAGCAAGAAGGUAUAAACACGCAACCUGAUAUUGCAAAUAUGAAUGAACUAAAGAAGGGUUCAAGCUCUCAAUUCGAAAGGACUAAUCGACACAGUCGAGGAGAACAAGAACAGGGGCCCUGGAUCACUGUAAAAGGACUUGUCGCCGCAGUUACAACGAAUCAAUCUCAAUUUCUCAAAGGAAAAUUAGAACUAAACAAAUCUCAAGUUUCUAAGGUGGUGGCUACUGAGUUUAUAUUAAAGGGGCUAACUAGGGUUGGGGGCAACCAGGGAGGGGGCGACCACAACUUGGGCUUAAGGCCCGACAUGAUACAAGGCCAAGUUGGCCCAAAACUGGUGACGUAGCACCUUGUUGUGGUCACACAGAAUGAUCCACAAAACCUUCUGGAGCUUGGAAUAGAUCCAAAAGAAUGACAUCAUCGUCCCCAUUCCAACGCAUCAAAGAACGCCAAAUUUCGAUGUCGUAUGAGGGGGAUAUGGCCGAAAAUGUGCAAGGGUGUCGGCUGAAUCCGAAUUGAACGUGACGACCGAGUUUGUGAUGACUUGUAACUUGGGGAAGACCAUGACUCAUGUAUGUCCAGCAUGGCGAUGUCCUCAUCAGCCGGUGGCCAUGGUUGGCAGGUGGAGGUGUAAGGAGCUUCGGGGGAUCUCCCAGCGUUUGGGCAGGCGAGAUAGGGAGCCCCAAGUGCGGUUUUGCCUCGUGCAGGCAUUGGGCAAGCUUCGGGCAUCAUUGGGUUGCAUCUUGCUAGGGAUAGGGCGGAGGGGCACACCGGUGCACGGCAGCGUAGUGGCGCGCGGAGGCGUCCGCGGGCACGCGCAGUGGCGAAGGUGAUAGGGUGGCGGGGAUGGCGUGCAGAGGAGGAUUUGAGCGCAAGAUGUCCUCGACGAUAGCUCGGGAGGCCGCACCAAGGUGCGGGAGGCUCACUGGUGGCUUGGGAAGGCGAUGACGCUGAGUGGAGAGGGGGUCUCCACGGCGAGCUAGCGCAACGGCGUUUGUGUAGAGCUUGGGCGCUCAUGGGUGGGGAGUUUUGGUGAGGCCUUGGUGCCUUUUAUAGGAUAGGGGAGUUGCGAGGGAGCGACGAGGAGCCAGCGGGCGUGACAGGCAUGGUCGGACGGGAGUGGCAGAGGAAAGCCGGGCGGCGCCAUUGGCCGGUGAUGUAGCACUGGCCUGAUCUUCCAAAAGGUAGUGAUAAAUUCGAUUGGUGGAGACUUGACGUUGAUGAUUCGGGCUUCUAAUCAGACAUGAUUCGAAUCCCUACAACCGCUACACCGCUGCUUCGUUGGUUAUCAACCAAGCACAACUUGAUUGACCUCGCCGAGAAGGCUUUCCCUGCAAGCAAAUCGAAGGACACAAGCAAGAAGGUAUAAACACGCAAUCUGAUAUUGCAAAUAUGAAUGAACUAAAGAAGGGUUCAAGCUCUCAAUUCGAAAGGACUAAUCGACACAGUCGAGGAGAACAAGAACAGGGGCCCUGGAUCACUGUAAAAGGACUUGUCGCCGCAGUUACAAUGAAUCAAUCUCAAUUUCUCAAAGGAAAAAUUAGAACUAAAAAAAACUCAAGUUUCUAAGGUGGUGGCUACUGAGUUUAUAUUAAAGGGGCUAACUAGGGUUGGGGGCAACCAGGGAGGGGGCGACCACAACUUGGGCUUAACGCCCGACAUGAUACAAGGCCAAGUUGGCCCAAAACUGGUGACGUAGCACCUUGUCGUGGUCACACAGAAUGAUCCACGAACCUUCUGGAGCUUGGAAUAGAUCUAAAAGAAUGACAUCAUCAUCCCCAUUCCAACGCAUCAAAGAACGCCAAGUUUCGAUGUCGUAUGAGGGGGAUAUGGCCGAAAAUGUGCAAGGGUGUCGGCUGAAUCCAAACUGAACGUGACGACCGAGUUGGUGAUGACUUGUAACUUGGGGAAGACCAUGACUCAUGUAUGUCCAGCAUGGCGAUGUCCUCAUCAGCCGGUGGCCAUGGUUGGCAGGUGGAGGUGUAAGGAGCUUCGGGGGAUCUCCCAGCGUUUGGGCAGGCGAGAUAGGGAGCCCCAAGUGCGGUUUUGCCUCGUGCAGGCAUUGGGCAAGCUUCGGGCGUCAUUGGGUUGCAUCUUGCUAGGGAUAGGGCAGAGGGGCACACCGGUGCAUGGUAGCGUAGUGGCGCGCGGAGGCGUCCGCGGGCACGCGCAGUGGCGAAGGCGAUAGGGUGGUGGGGAUGGCGUGCAGAGGAGGAUUUGAGCACAGGAUGUCCUCGACGACAGCUCGGGAGGCAGCACCAAGGUGCCGGAGGCUCGCUGGUGGCUUGGGAAGGCGAUGGCGCUGUGUGGAGAGGGGGUCUCCACGGCAAGCUAGCGCAACGGCGUUUGUGUAGAGCUUGGGCGCUCAUGGGUGGGGAGUUUUGGCGAGGCCUUGGUGCCUUUUAUAGGAUAGGGGAGUUGCGAGGGAGUGACGAGGAGCCAGCGGGCGUGACAGGCAUGGCCGGACGGGAGUGGGAGAGGAAAGCCGGGCGGCGCCAUUGGCCGGUGAUGUAGCACUGGCCUGAUCUUCCAAAAGGUAGUGAUAAAUUCGAUUGGUGGAGACUUGACGUUGAUGAUUCGGGCUUCUAAUCAGACAUGAUUCGAAUCCCUACAACCGCUACACCGCUGCUCCGUUGGUUAUCAACCAAGCACAACUUGAUUGACCUCGCCGAGAAGGCUUUCCCUACAAGCGAAUCGAAGGACACAAGCAAGAAGGUAUAAACACGCAAUCUGAUAUUGCAAAUAUGAAUGAACUAAAGAAGGGUUCAAGCUCUCAAUUCGAAAGGACUAAUCAACACAAUCGAGGAGAACAAGAACAGGGGCCCUGGAUCACUGUAAAAGGACUUGUCGCCGCAGUUACAAUGAAUCAAUCUCAAUUUCUCGAAGGAAAAAUUAGAACUAAACAAAACCCGAGUUUCUAAGGUGGCAGCUACUGAGUUUAUAUUAAAGGGGCAAACUAUGGUUGGGGGCGACCAGGGAGGGGGUGCCCAAAACUUGGGUUUAUGGUCCAACAUGAUACAAGGCAAUGUCGUGGUCACACAUAAUGAUCCACAAAUCUUCUGGAGCUAGGACCAGAACCAAAAGAACGGCGUCGUCGUCCCCGUUCCAACACAUGAAAGAAUGCCUUGUUUCGAUGUCGUAUGAGGGAGAUAUGGCCGAAACCGUGCAGGACUGUCGGCUGAAUCCGAAAUGAACGUGACGACCGAGUUGGUGACGACUUGUAACUUGGGGAAGAACAUGACUCAUGUGUGUCCAGCAUGGCGAUGUCCUCAUCAAAAGGCACAAGAAUUUAUGCACUCUCGGGCUGGCAAGUGCAGGGUUGAAGGUCCGAGGGUAGGUGAGUUUAUUUGGACGACCCGUGCUGCAACAUCCAACGCGACUUUGUGCCGAGUCAUCCAAUCCAUUCCCAAAAUUAUAUCAAUGCCCUCCAAACCCAAGAUAAUAAGGGUAGUUUUGAAAACUUUUCCACCUAACUUGAUGAGUGCUUCACGUGUUAUUUGGUGGGAAGCAAUUUUACCACCAGGAGUUGAGAUCAUGUAAGCCCCUUCUGUGUGACAGAAACCCAAAUCACAUUUACCACUAAACUUUAUCCUGAUAAAGCUAUGUGAUGCACUAGAAUCAAAUAAUAUAAGGGCAAACUAGUUGUGGAUAGAAAAAGUGUCCAUCAUGACUGGUGCACCCUUUGGAAGGUCCGCAAAAGUGGUGAAGUUAAGUAUUACCUGCCGGACCUGAACCUUUGGCCUCUUGCCUUUAUUUUGGUUUGAGCUCGGUCCCUGACUAUGGACCUUGUUCUGCGGACAGUCUUUGGUGAAGUGGUUCAAGCUCCCACAAGUGAAACAACGAUUUCCACUGCCAGGACGAAGUGGCGGCGGAGCAUUUGGCCUUAGGCCUUGCUGCUAAAAACCGGGGAAACGAGGAGCUCCUUGCUGCGGUGGUGGCUGGACCACCCAUCGGCCUUGCUGCGGAGUCCUCUGUAGAGCCUUUGGGGGAAUCAGUCGGAACUUUGGUGCUGGGGCACUGGGGGAAGGCAUCAGUGCUUUUCUCUUGUUCUCAGCCUUGAGGGCUAUGAUGCAAUCCUCUUGAGAAAUAGCUAGACUAACCAGCUCAUGAAAAGUGUCCACCUCAACCAGGUUCAGCAUUUCUUUAAGCUUGAGACUCAGGCCCUUGCGGAAUCUGUCCCGCUUCUUCUCGUUAGUAUCUGCCUGAUAACCCACGUAUUGGCACAAUUCAUUGAAGGCUUGUGCAAACUGGAGCACAUUGCGGUUGCCCUGGGUGAGCACGAGGAAUUCGUUCAGCUUCCUUUCAAGAAGACCUUCAGGAAUAUGAUGCCUCUUGAAGGCGGUCUUGAAUUCCGCCCACGUAACCACGUGGUCGGUGGGAAGCAUGGUGUGGUAGUGAUCCCACCAUAGCCGUGCUAACAUCGCAGCUGCUGGGCUGCAAACUUCACCUUGUUCUCAUCAGGGCAAGGCAAGGUAAGGAGCGUGAGUUUGGACUCAAUUGUGCGAAUCCAAGAGUCAGCAUCGAGUGGCUACUCCGUCUUGUGAUACAGAGGGGGCUGAGUGCCAAGGAAAUCCUCAAAGCUGGCCACGUAGGGUUGGUGAGCUCUCCCAUCGUGUGGCGGUUGUUGUUGCUGCUGGCCAUGAACAAUAUGGUGAAGCAGCUCCGUCUAGGCAGCGAGGAUGGCCCCCAUGGUAGACGGUGGAGGUGGUGGUGGGGUCCACCUCAGCUCGCUACCGCUUAGUGCAAAUCCUGAGGAAUUCUGGCAGAUUCCGUGCACCAUCUACAGAAGCGAACUUCUCCCAUUAGUCACAUAAUUUUCAAGCUUGCCCAUAAGAAGAUGAACAAGGUAAAUCAUGUGCGGAAUGUUAAAGUUCAUCAUGCAGUCAAAUCAUUGCGGGUAGAAGGCUCUUGCUUAGGAGAAAAAUCAUAUCUCCUGACUCAAACAUCCAUAACUUCUCAUCUUUGGUCAGUGAGUAGGAAAUUUUUUGCACUACAACUUUGGCAAUUUACUCAGAGGCCAAAACAAGGCUUAACAAGCUUGAAAAUUUCAUGUAGGUAUCUCUGUCUUGCUUGUUUUUCAGCAAGCUAGGUGGUGGAAUUUUACUCAUAACUUGAGUUGGAAAAGUCCAGUGAUGCUGAAAUUUCUGUGAGCAAUUGGUUUAUGAAAUUCCUCACAAUUUUGGCAUUCACCAUUUUGCUAAAACAACUCUAGGAAGGUGAUAAAGAAUCUCACAGAGUGGUUCAUUCUGGAAUUUCAGAGACAAUGUAAGAAUGAACAGAUCACAUCUCUCAAACCAUUGAUCCAAUUCAGCUGAAAUUUUACCAUAAUGUCUCUGCUCAGUGCUUAAUAACUUUGGUUUAAAGGGUUCCUAUCAGAAAACAUCCUUAAGAGUGUCAAAAAAUUAAAAUCCCAACAGGUGUGCAACUGUGUUUCCAGCAAACAGGGGGCUACUAAACCAAACAUAUCCCACAUUUUGUUUGGUCAAUUUUAUGAUAUUUUUACCAGCAUUUUAUUUUAGAAAUUUUAGACAACUUUCCUAUAACAAGUUUCUAGAGCAAGCCUAAGGAAACAACUCAAAAGAUUUUAUCAAGUUCGAACAGCGGAGUAAGGCAGCAAGAAAAUCCUUAUCGCGCACAAGAUUUUUAGACAAAACACACAUGCAAGUUUGAUUUGUUGUCUUUUAAGUGGUGAAUUUUAAUUCAUGAUGCAUGCAUGUCCUAUUCGUCCUCUCAACAGAAAUAAUUACUAAAAAGUGAAGGACUGAAAGGGUGACCAGAGGGGGGGUGAAUGGGAGCCUCAAAUAUUUCUUAUGAAAUCCAUCAAAGAACUUGUGCAACCCACUAAAAUGACAACCCUUCAUAACAGACCCAAGCCCAAAACCAUCAGCCCUUUUGAACUCCUGAAUCAUCAUGCCUAGCUGAGGUUCCCUACUUGACACCCAACUAAGAACCGUGCGCAAGUAAGAGUUUCAUCCUCAGCAUGUUGCAAACUAAGCUUGAGUUCAGGACAAUCAGUGCAUUCAGGAAGUUUAGAUCUAGCAAUGAACUCAGACUUUCCUAAAGCACUAAGCUUAGCACAUGCAUCAUCCAACUGAACUUGCAAAGCGGGGCAAGACUUACAUGCACCAAGCAAAACAAGCCUAGUCUUGACCUCAUCUAAAGCAGCCCUAGUCAAAUCCAAUUCAUCUACCAACAAGGCAUGCUUAGAUUGUAAAGAUGCAAGACUAUCCAUAUGAACAACACAUUCAUUAUACUCAACAACAUCAGAAACAGGAGGAGCAGACUUGAGCAUAUCAAUCUCAAUCAAGGCACUUUCUAACUUAGCCUUAAGCUCAACUCACUCUCUAGCAGCCUUCUUAAGCAGUUUAUCUUGAUUGAUCAGGCAAUCAUUAAGUUCUUCUACUUCUAGAGCAAGCUGUUCUGGAGUAGGCUUUACCUCAGUUUCUGUGUCAGAGUCGCUUUCCUUGUCAUCCUUCUUGGAGUUGAGGGCCAUGACACAGUACCUGUCGCGGUUCUUGCCAGAGUAGAAGCAGAGGCCGUUGAAGUUCUUGCCGUCCUUCUUCUUUGCCUUGCGGUCGUCGUCCUCCUCACUUGAGCUUGAGUUGGUGUGGUCGUCGGUGUCGGAGUUGACGUCACUGAGGGAGGCAAUGAAGGCACAUGCUUUGGCCUUCUUGUGAUACUCCUUCUUCUCACGAUCGGUGUACUUCUUCUCCUUCUUGGUGCCGUCCUUGUUCUUAUGCUUGUUGUAGUCGUACCCGCUCUUGGAUUUGUUCUUGUCGGUGUGGCGGAUCCACUUCGGAUUAGCUUGAUUAAGCAGGGUGAAGCCGCCUAACAUGCGACACUCGUGCCUAAACCAAGUUAACACGAAGUGCCGUCGGAUUUCAUCCAAUUUAACCACUUAAACAGGAUCGAGUUUAGCAAACCCACACGAAGGUGAGUGAUUACAGAGAAUACAACGAGUCCAGAGAGUUAGACGGAAUCACCGAUUUAGUUCGACCAUAAAGUCCAACAUCAGGGUUUUACAAGGUUCAAAAGAACAACAGAGAAAACACUAGCGGAAGACUUCGUCGGGGUCGGACAUCCCUGGUGAGGCCAACCGGGACAUCACUGGUUCCUUUCCUCGCCGUCCGAGGAAGGAUCCCACUCGACCGUCCAGCCUGGCGGAAGCUGGGGCGGCCAAGCACCAACCAGAGAGGGGUCGGAAGCAGCAACUUCACCUGAAAAACAGGAGCCACAACAAGGUUGACCUACUAAGCUCAACAAGACUUAUCCGAUAGGAGUAACAACUACUCCUCCUUCUAGACAUGCAGGGUUGUUUGGUUGAGGGGUUUGUUUGCCAAAAGCGCUAAGUAAAAACCCUAUUUCCAAGUUUUAGCUCAGGUUCUAAGUUCAAUUACCAGUCUAGGUUGUGCAACCUAUUCUAAGCAAUCAUAGAACCAAACAAGAGGUGAAUAUACAUCAGCAACAUGUCAUCAUCAGAUUCCUUAUUUACUCAAGGUAGCAUAGCGAUCAAGCAAUCUCAAACUGUGAGAGGCAGACGAAUCGAUUCGAGUUCUUUAACCAUCCAUGGUGAACCUAGCCUCACGACAUCCGCGCACCCGGAGGUCGCUUCCUGUGUCGGCCUUCCCCAUCAAUCCCCUAACCCGUGUCGGGCCCAUUUCCUUUGGUGCAAGGUUCCACGGACCCGGCCUCUGCCGUCCUGUGACCACGCUUGCCACCACGUGCGACAUCCAGCAGGGGAAACUCCGUUCCAAGAACAAUGGGGCGACCGCUCACGUCUAGGUUCAAUCCGGUACUAGGCUUCCUCAUCCCAUACUAAGUAUGAGGCUAGUACUUUCAAAUAAUUGAUCACGAACACCACCACUGUCGGGCCUUAGCAAGAUUUCAUAGACAGACGGGGCGACCAUCCGUCCACCAAAGAGUUACCAAAACCCUGCCCCGUCCAUCGUCCUUAUAGUUGUAACCGAAAGAUAGACAUCCAACUCCUACAACUCGCGAGUGACAGGAGAUCACUCGACUUUUACCGUCUCCUAGUUAAGCAAGGCGACUACACGGUCCAACAGCUAGUGCUCAGAUCAUGGGGACAACUAAGUCAUGCACCUAGGGUUUCACACAACUCCUAUACGUAAAUGCACAAGCAUGUUACAGAAGGCAUGUGCAAGUCUGAUAAAACACAUAGGGUUUCCAUGCAACCGGGGCUUGCCUUCAAGCAAGGAGGAAGGAAACUGCUCGACUUCUGGGGCGACGUCGGCUUCUGCGGGCAGGAGCUCGGCUACACCUUCUUCUUCUGGCGCCGGGUGAAGCUCGUAGAAGCCGUCGGCGAGACGCAGCUCUACACGAAUGCAAUGCACAAGUUAGCAUAGACGGUUAUUUCAACAGCAACACUGGCUCGCCUGAGCCUAGAAACUCGCGACGAAGAGCAGGAGGGUGGGGAGGUUCAAGAGAGCUGGUGAUGAUCAAGAGGUAAGGAUAGGAAAGAAACUUAUGAUCUGAUCCUUGAACUAGAGGAUGUGGUAUACUAGGGGUCCUUAGACGCAAGCGCUGAAGGGUUCCCAAAUUUUACACAUACACCCUCGGGUUGAAGGAAAAGAUCACAGCCGAACCCUCGGGUGAGGCGGAUAAGGGUCGGCGAAACAGACAGGGUCGGGCGAGGCGGAACCGGGGUCGGGCGGAUAGGAGGGGUCGGGCGGGGCGGACUGGGGUCGGCAACUCACCUUCUUCCUGAAAGGAAAGCUUUGGGGGUCGGGAAGAAGCAGACUUGGGCGGAGGGACUAAAGCUUCGAACAAGGGCUAAGACUGGAAAUGCUACGGCGGCGGCGGUGCUUCUUGCGGAUCACAAGAGAGCUUUUACGCAGCACGGGGGAGCAAGCUGCAGGGUGACUUGGAGAAACUGAGAGAGAAUCUGAGAGAAGAACUCCUCAAGAACUUGGUGGGUGGUGCGAGUAGCUUGAGCAGAGAGCGAGAGAAUGGCUGAAGGCAACAAUGGCGGAGGGAACUCCGGCGGCUGGUGCAUUCCUUUUAUAGCUGCUGGACGGAGAAAGGAAGCAGCGCGGGAGAGAGAGAAGGGAAGCGGCGCGAAGGCCGGGGAGAAGCAAUGGAGUGCUCUGCCGGGGCAGCGAUUGAGCGAAGAGGGCGGUGCUGCAGAACUCCAGGGUGACGCCAGCGAUCAUUGCACUCUGCCGUCAGGGCGGCGUAGGAGCGGGUAGACCGGUGGUUGAGAUUUGGCGGAAAGCGGGCGUCGCCAUGCGAAAGAUUUGAUAGAAGCGACCGGUUUAACGGCGCUAGAAUCGAGGGCGCACAGGUGAGAAGACAGGCAGCCGCGGGCGCGGGCGAGAGCGCGGAACAACAGAUUGUCGGGCGGCUUCCGUCAGAGCGGGGGAAAGGAGCUGUCGCGACCGCGGUCCGGGUUGGCGAUGAAGGAAUCGUCGUGUAGCGGCGACCGGGCAGCGCGACUGUGGCUGAAGGGACGGAAAAGACGGGCGACCUCGGGCUCUGGGGCCAGGAUCUGGCGGCGUGAUGAUGGGCGCGGGAGGCGAGGUUCUGCAGAAAGGUUGCAGAGGGCUUCCGCUGCCAUUGGGGAAAGGGGGCGCGAGAACCCACUCGGUCGCUUGCCAGAGACAAAACUGAGCGGCGGGCGUCGGAGAAGACGAGCCACGCGGCAGGGGGACUCUGAAGCGGCCAUGCAACUCGAGUGCGACUGUCGCGGAGGAUCUGGGAAAAAGAUCUUGCGGGUCCACCGGUGGAUAGAACGGACGUUUGAGGAUGCUUAGCAGGAUCCGACGGUGGGCUGAGCUUGCCGGGGUCGGGAGAGGAACGAAGCGGAGAGGGGUCGGGUCUCCGGGGUCGGAACUAGGCGGAAGGCUGAGCACUCGGCGCGGUAAAACAAGACAGAUGACUAAGGUCAAGGGCUCUUGAUCAAGACUAACUGGGAAGGUUUAGGGGUCGGUCGUUACAGUCGGGGCAGUCGGUGGCGAAGUGGCCUGCCUUGCCACAAUCGAAGCAGGUGUUGUUCUUCCUUCGCCUGUUCUUGCGAUUGUCGUUGAACCGCAUGAACCUUCGUGUGAUCAAGGCGAGCUCAUCAUCAUCAAGGACCUCCAACUGCUCCUAUGAAACAGAAACCAAGGAAGACAAGGCAAACGACAUAGAAGAAGAGUUCCCCAAAGACUUAGACUGUCCAGAGCCAGACAUGAGAGCCAUACUACUUGGAUUAGUAGGGCUUCCUUGUUUUGCUCGGAGCCUCUUGUCAACUUCAGUGGACUUCAACUUGGCAAAGAGUUCGUCAGUGGAAAGCGUUUCGUAAUUUGGUGACUCGAUGAUUGCAUCAACCUUCGUAACCCACCCCUCGUGAUCCAAAGCAUGAAGGAGCUUCAAAGCUCUAUCCUGAUCAGUGUAGGGUAGAACGGUCAUGUUUGCUUUCAUCUUGUUCACGAUAGCCAAGAAUCACUAAAACAAAGCAUCGGCAGACUUGCCAGGCAAAUGAACAAAAUUCUCAUACUCACGCCUGUAGGUCUCAAAGAGCCUAGCCUUCACCUGGCUGUUUCCCUCAUGGAAACUCUGUAGUCGGGACCAAAUCUCAUGAGCAAGAAUGAGAUCCUUGACUCGAUCGAACUCAGCACGACUCAGACUCGCAAACAGGAUAUCCAACACCUUGUUGUUGGUGUGAUACUUAUCUCUAGCAUCUUGAGUCACACGAGUCACAGGAAUCACAUAGUUCACAUCCUGAGUGAUUUCCCAAACCCCUGCUCCCUUACUAUUAAGAUCGGCUCUCAUGCGAGUUUUCUAGUAUCGAUAAUCAGAGCCAUCAAAGUAGGGGGCAGCGGUCGAGGAAGAACGCUCAGAGGUCGCCAUCGUGGGUUUCGAAGCCGAUUAAGGUAUGGAGAAACCUUAGCUGGCUCUGAUACCUAUUGAAGGACCGAAAGGGCGACAAGAGGGGGGUGAAUGGGAGCCUCAAAUAUUUCUUUUGAAAUUUUAGGCUUCUGUCCCAAAUUUAAACCCCAAAACCGAAACGAGCAGAAGACGAGAGAUCCACGAGCCAACUGGGUGGCUGGGUGUCUAUGGUGAUGAUCGAUAACAUACUGUGACUCUCAAGAAACAACUGGAAGCAAACUCCAAAGAUCCAGAAGCAAACUCCAAAGAUCUGAGUCAAAAUAGGACUCAAAAUGCUCCUGUCGGAACUUUCGACACCCUAUCGGAAGUUCCGAUACCUAUCGGAAGUACCGGGAAACUCCCGAUAGGAAGUCUCUAUCGUUUCAUCAAAUUUCCCAUCGGAACUUCCGACACAGUGUCGGAACUUCCGACAUCACAGAAAUCAGCCUUCGUGAGGAGACAAGAAAAAUCCAAAACUCGAUCAAAUGACCUCCAAAAAUCACAAAAUUUUAACCAUAGUUUUUCAACAACAUAAAAAAAAUGUUCCCAAAAGAUCUCCUAAAAAAGAUCAGCCAAUCAAAGGGAAUUAAAUAUCUUGUGAGGAAUGCUGGUUUUUCAACCCUAGAGCUUGAAUCAUCCCGAUCUAUGAACUCAUGAGGAGUUAGAUGAAUUCCUUUGGUGGAAAGACUUCCCUCACAUUCUAGUUCAUUUCCCAAUGAUAGGUUUGAGCCAAGACUCCUCAGAAAUCAUGAAUCAAACAAAAACGUGAGAAGGCAAAAAUGGAGAAACUAGGAACGGAAAGAACUCGAGCGAGAGUUGCACAAAUCGUCAUCCCCCAACAUAGACUUGCUUUGCCUCAAUGCAACCUCUGUGAGUCCGCCACGUGCCUCCGUGUUCCUCCACGGAACCUCUGCCCGAGUUUUGCGGCCAAAACCCGAAAACCAUCUGCCUGUGGUUUUUUCGACCCAAACCACCAAACCCGCUCCUCGACACGUGUCACCACCGUCCUCGACCGCCCGGCCACCAAGUCUUCUGGCGCCCUUGCUUGACUUGCACGUCCACCAUCUUGACUUGGUCAACACGGUCACUCCUCUAUGUACACUUGCGCUUGUCGAUGUCCCUAAGUGUCAGCCACCGCGGCUGAUCCUCCGGCACUCUGGUCCAUCAAUCCAAGCCUCACGUCCGUCCUUCACCGCUCCCUGUCUAUCGGCACGGCCCAUCUCUACUUGACCUUCACCUCGCCAUUGAUCACCACCUCCAAGCUCCACACCUGCGCAUCACAAACCAAGAGCACAUCAAUCCAACACAACGUUGUCAAUCACUCAUCAUCCAAGGGUGACCAUCCAUUGGUCCUCAAAAAGCUUUGGACUUCGCGGUUAGUGCCGGUGGCAAGGAAACAUUUACGGCUCUCUCUAUAAUAACUAGUCGAUCCUUCUAUUCGUUGUUAACUUACGUAAUCGUGGUUAGCGUACCCGCAGAAAAUUUUCCAACCUGAACCUUUCGUACUAGCACGUCAUGAAAGCAUCCACAAACAUUACUGUCCACUAUAGGAACAACACCCGUAUGAUUAUCGCUACACGGGCAACGUUCAUACGCUUGAAAGUCUAUUCACACUUAUCCAACUAUUAUGUGCCGCGCUCAUAUUUGCAUAUGAGGAUGGGGGCAUGUUACGGAAUCGCCAUACCCCUGCGUCCAACCAUUAUGUGCCGCCAUCAUAUUUUCAUACGAUGUUGGGGGUAUAUUAAUGAUCGCUAUACCCCUGCGUUUUGUGCUGGAAGACAAUAUAAAUAACCAAUGGUUAUGUAGCCAGCUAAAAAUAACCAAAAAUUCCCCUAGGGCUUCUCAGACUAAGUUCAUCCUUAACGAACUUAUGAUUUUUUCAAACUAAUUUCUUGCAAGUUUUAUUUAGAAAAAGGUGUUUAAGGUUUGUUGUUAUCUCUAAUAUGCUUUAUAGCUCUGAUACCCGUUGUGGCAGAACUGCCUAAAUUAACCUGUCUAAAGUGCACUUAAGUCGCCUAACAUGCGAUCAUGCACGUUAAACAAGUCAACUUAGUCGACCAUCAGAUUUCCUCCGAUAAACCACAUAUACAGGAACGAGAAGCAUUGCUCACACGAAGGUAAGUGGUUACAAAGAUUAGAAUAUUUCCAUCACAUUAACAUAGUUCAACAAUUUAUUAUAUUAGAGUUUAGAAAUUCAAACAGAGUUUGCACGGUUUCAAACAACAAAGAAGUAAAACAUGCGGAAGCUAAAUGUUGAUACACGAUAUCAUGAUGAAGUCGAUCAUGACAUCAAUGACCACUAUCCUCACCGUCCGAGUAGGUAUCCCACUCAACCGUCCAACCCGGAGGGAGCUAGGUAGGCCAAGUGACGCUAGCAGCCAAAACAUUGACAUCUAAGUUACCUAAAAGUAAAGCCACAAGCAAGGCUGAGUAUACUAAUACUCAACAAGACUUACCCAUCAGAUGGCAACUACUCCACCGACUCCUAGACAUGCAAGGCUUUUUGGCUAAGAGUUUGUUUUCCCAAAAGCAGCUAAAGUACAUCCUUACUUUUGAGUUUUAGCAUCAGACUCUAGUCGAUUAACCAUUCUAAGUAAGCACAAAUUCUAAGCAAGCAUGUUUGAACAACAAUUUAAUCAAGCAUCAGUAUUAUUCAUCAUUCUUUAUUUCAGUUCUUACUCAGUGCAGAAGUGGGUCAAGUAGUCUCAAACUGUGCGGGGCAAACGAUUUGAAUCGAGUUUCUUAACCUUGCAAGGUAAACCUAAUCCCGCGAUAUUGCGUACCACGACAGGUCCACACAUGUCAGCCGUCCCCAUCAAUUCCCAAGGCCACGCGCAAGUGGCUAAGGCCCACUUCCCUUAGAUACAAGGCCCCACGGUCCCGGAACAUCACCAUACCGUGACUGCACUUGUACCCACAUGAUGCAUCAGGGGAACCCCGUUCUAGAGAGAGCGGGGAGUAUGCCCACAUCCCGGUUCAAUUAGAUACUAGGCUUCCCUAUCCCAUACUAGGUAUGAGAUUAGUACUUUCAAACACUUGACCACAGCUCUAAACACAUUUAGACCUUAACAUCUUAUCCUAGGUAGAUGGGGCAAAAAAAUUUCACCAAGACAAAACCAAAGCCUGGCCCCGUCCAUCAUCCUUAUGGUUGCAGCGUAAGUAAAAUAGGCAACUCCUAUAGAUCGCGAGUGACAAGGAAUCACUUGAAUUUUACCGAGUCCUAUUUAGAACAAUAACUACUUACCCUAUCAUGCUAGUAUUCAACACAUAGGUACCUAGGAUCAUGCCACUAGGGUUUCAAGCAACUCGUAUGAACGUAAAUGCACAAACAUAAGCAACAUAAGUAGUACAAAAAAUUAGCAAAUUAGGAUAUGCUCCAGGGCUUGCCUUCCUGAACUAUGUUAGUUAGCAGGUUGUUGGAAGCUUAAUUCUUUCAUCUCCUGCUCAGCCACGACGUGGUGCACCUCGGCUGAUCCUUCCUCCUCAGCAGUCAUCAACUCGUAUGUUCCGUCUGCGAGGUUCGCUUCUACACGAGGUGCAUAUGCAAAAGUUCAAUUUUCCAUUCUUUCAUAUGCAAGAUGCAAAACAUGAAUUAUUGUUGAAGCGUAAAUUGCAUUUUGACCACAUUCACCUAAACAAAUUUCUAAACUUUUAUUAUCUUCAUGCAGUAAGGUAUGCUGUGAUAUAAAACCCGGAGUUGACUUUGAUGGUGAUUGUGUACACAUAUAAGGUUUUACAAAUUAGACUUCCCAAAGAAAGGUGGGGUCACUCUAGGGUUGCUCAAGGUUCAUUUGGAAACUUAUCCUAUUUCUGAAUGUUUUUUUUACCUCUUCUAAAAUUACCAUUUUACCCUUAUUAUUACUUAAUUUGUCUCUAUUUCCUUUCCUUAGCUUUAACUUCCAUAAUUCAUUUCAGAGGCAUAUGAUUAACUAUGGGUGUGAAACUUUUACAGAGACUUCUCACUACCAUUCCUAAGCUACUGUACAAUUUUGGAGUCCACUUGGUUAUUACAAAAAUCACCAAAAUUAUUUCAUUAUCCUAAGGUAGCAAACACUUAACUAUUUUAUCUUGCUUUACACAAAGAGUUUGUUGCUGAAAUUUUAACAGUGAGUUACAUAGGUGCAACAGAGGCUUUGGUGAAUUUUCUAUGAAUCCUGGUGAAGGACACCUAUUUCCAUAUUUCUCCUUCAUUUAAACUUGUACAAAAAGUUAAGCAUGUUUCACUCGGCCUCCUGCAGAACCAUUAUUUUUUCCUAGCACUAACUUACCGAAACAAACCUAUCAGAAGUGGUAUUGAUAUUUUACCAUUUUUUUCUAUCAUUUACUAUUUAUUUAAUGGCUUAAACAAGAUUUAAAACCUAGAGAACAAUACACAACAGUGACAUGUGUACAAAUAUUUUGUUGUGAAACUACACAUCUUAAGGAUUCCAACAAAACUAGUUUGACAUUUUUUGCAAUUUUCUAGAUUUAAUUAUGCAUUUCCAAAGUUCAAUUUAUUUAAAUCAAAUUUAAAUCAAACAGGCGAUGGCAGUUUUACAGGUGGCCUCUUAAGGUUUUCGAAUCAUCCUAGAUAGGUUCCUGAAACUUACACCGAGGCCCCUAGAAAGAGUGAAAUCAAAGCGAAAAGGCCCUCGCGGUGGCCGGCGACAAGUCCAGCGAACUCCCAAUGAACUACUGCGCAAAAGGAGGAACCAAGGGCAUAGGCAUGUGUACGUGCUCUCCUUGAGCAAGGUUGGUGCAGGUCUGGGCAGUGACGACAGCGAGUAGGCGGCAAACGGGCUUGGGGAUGAAAGGCGGGUGCAGCGGCGAGGAGCUCCGGUGUUCCGAUGCCGAAGACAUCGCUGGAGGGGAAAGGACGGCGGGCUGAGCAUCGCGCGACGACGGUGAAGCUAGCGGGGGCGGUGGUGAGUGGUGUAGCUGCGUGGGCAGAGGCUCUCCAUGGUGUGGUAGCGUGGCGGCUUGCGGAGCAGAGGAGCGGGCAGGGGGCGAUGGCGUAGUGAGCUUCGGGUGGCACAGUCCUGCCCUUUAUAAGCCCGAAGAGGUGCGGGGCUACAAGGCAGAGCCAAUGGGCAUGCAGGGCGUGGCUGGAGGUGAGCGGAGGUGGAACACCGGGCGGCGCCAUUAGCCGGUGACGUUCACUAGUGGGGGAGGAUGCGGUCUCGUGGGCGAUCUUGCGGCCAUUGGCACGACAGGAUAGCGAGCACGAAGGAGCAGCUUUGCUGGGCGGAGCAAUUGGCCGAGCUGGGCUUCAUUUUGUCUUGUCAAGCGGCGGAUUGGUGGAGGCGGAGCCAACUAGCAGGCGGCAUCAUCGUGGCGGAGGGAGGUGGGACGAAGCACGGCGUGGGUUGGGCGAUGGAGAUAGCGCGCCAGAGGGAAGGAUAAACUCGUCGGGCGGUUGGCCAUCUCGGGCGUCGUCCCAUCCCAUUGUGCCGGCGAUAGGGCAAUGGCGGCUUGCCGGUGAAGCGCGGCCACGCGGCAGACAAGUCACGGGAGCACACGGCGUGCGCGCUCUAGCAAGGGGGUGCGACGCGGUGCCACAUAGGGAGCCAAGCUUAGACAUGAUUUUCGUGCAAAAAUUCAAGUUGAAUUUUUCCCAAACUAUGAUUUGUUGUCCUCAUGUCAGACUUCAAUUGCUACAAAAGGUUUAGGUUCAAAAUCAGGCUAGAUUUGCAGAUCCAAGGUCUCAAAGUUUUGUGGAAUGCUUAAAAUUCAGACUUAGCUGAUUUUCACGUUUUGGGCUGAGUUGUCUGUUUUAGUUGGUUUUGACUCCGUUUUUGAAAAGGUUCUAGUGAGUUUUGGACCAGGGUCAAAUAAUCAAAGUUGUAGUAGACUCGUAGCCCUCAAACUUCUAUUGAGGGCUUGGCUCGAGUUCAGAAACAAAUUUGUGAGAAACAAGGCUGCCAAGUUGAGGAAUUUCACUGUUUUCAGCACUUAGAGUUUUUGAAGUGAUUUUGAAUUGCUACUGAUUUUGAUUCUAGUUUUUGAACCUCUUCCCCUCUAGAUCAAUCAAAGUGCUAAUAAGGAAAGUUGUUGGGUUUGUAAAGUUUUACAACUCUUAAAUUGAUAAAAAUUCAAGUUCCUAUAUAAAAUUUCAAGUUUUAAAUUGACCCCAAAUUGAGCUUUAAGGGCAAAUUUGACCUUUCACAUGCUAGAUUAGUGUCUAAGCCCCCUAUUCAAGCUUAACCAAGUUUAGUUUAACUAAAGUUGUUACAUCAUCAUGCUCAUGAUUGGACGUACAGACAGAGUUGGAUUGGCACAAACUUGAUGAGCCUGUUCUACACUUGCAUCUCUCUCAUCUGUAUGGUUAGUUUGAGGAUUUGGUUAGUGGAGCAUCAGAUUUAAGGGGAGUUCGUCAACUCUGUUAGUAGCAGAUUCAGCAGUGCAUAGUUUUGUUAUAAGUAUGUUUGGAGGGGUCAAACAUGGUUCAAUUUGGCUCAAGCUUUGUCAGAUCAUGGGGUACUUGUCGAACGUAGUUCUACAACUUUGAAGGCAUUUGGAUCUAUGGUUUGCUCGAUGUGAGCAAAACUCUAAAGGGGGAAGAAGCUAUUUUUUAGCAAAGUUAAAAGUGAUAUCUCUUGUUGUAAUCUCACUUUGGUGUUGCUGCUAUUGCUGUUGUAUCAAGGUUGCAAUAACCUUGUUGGUGUUUGUGCUGCUGAGAUGUACGUCUAGAUGUUCUAAAGAAGACUCCUUCAAUGAGACAAAAAAUACCUUGUUGGUGUUGGAGGGAAGCACAUCUCGAGCUGGGUCUGAGUUUCCGACAAAUAAUAGCUGAAGCCUAGCCAACUCGACAUAAUCGAUCACUUUUUGUGAAAUCACGUUGAAGAAGUAACACAUCCGUGUUGUAACCAUCUUUACGAAUACUAGUUUGAUAGCUUGGAUUGCAAUAGCGAGAAAAACUGUGAUCAUCACAUAGCAAUCAUGAGAGUUAUAGUCAGCAAGUAUCAUGCCCUUCAAUGAGACUAGUGACUGGAUAUUAGAUAAGAAUCCAGUCGGCACUUUCAACCCACGCAAGCACUUGCACAUAGUCAAUCUCUCAUCUGGUGUUAAGUUGUACCUAGCCGAGGGAAGGUAUUGCUUACCAUUAGGAAGUUCUUACAGGUAGAGCGCUGACCUGAUUUGAAGGUCAACCAGAUCCUUACGUAAUUUUAGUCUGUCCUUUGCCUUGCCUGAUAAGUCUAAGAAUUCAAUGGUGCUAUCGAACACAUUCUUCUGGAGAUGCAUCCCAUCAAUGGCAUGGCACACCGCCAGCUCUUGCCAGUAUGACAAAUACUUAAAGAAGAUAGACAUCUUCUUAAAUGGCACGUCUACGAUGUCUGUAGUUUCAGCCUGUUUCCUUCCCCUUUUCGAAUUAUCAGCACCACCUAAUGACUUCUUACCAAGUUUGUACUUGACCUUCUCGACAUUUUAAAUACUAUUUUACCUGUAGCUGGUUUUGGAGCAAAAUCAUUCUCAUUGGUGCCAUAAAAAAGUCCUUCAUCCUGCAGUAUUUGUGCGUCUUCAAUAAGAAGCGCUUGUACCGCAUGAACACUGUCUUCAUAGAUCCCUUAAGGUACACAUAUGAUGUUCCAUCCAAGCAAACUACACAUGCUGUCUUACCUUUUACCUGACCUAUCAAGGGAAAUAGGAUGGGAUAAUCAUUGAUGGUAACAAAGAUAAUGGCCCUUAGUGUGAAGUGUUCGUGUGUGUACUCAUCCCACAUCGAAACCCCAUCUUCCCAAAACUUCUGCAUAUCUUCCAUCAAUAGCUCAAAAAAACAUCUUGUCACAUCUAUGUCGAUGUUAGGUUGCUUCGGACCUUGUAUGAGAAUAUUUAGCAAAAGGAACUUUCUCUUAUGACAUAGCCAUGGGGAAGGUUGUAUAUGGUCAUCAACACUGGCCAUGUGCUGUGCGUGCUGCUUCUUUCACCAAACGGAUUCAUGUUGUAUGUACUCAACACGAACCGUACAUUUCUUUUUUAUCUAAAAAUUCUAGAUGAUUCGCAUCGAAGGUCCUCCACUAGCGAGCAUUGGAAGGAUGUCAAAGCUUUCCGUCAGCCUUUACUGGGCAAUCAGCAUGUCAAGUCAUCAUUUCAGCGGUCUUUGGGUUUGAGAACAAAUGCUUCAGAUGGUCCACCACCAGCAAGUACCACAUCACUAAGGCAGGGACUCUUCGCUGAGUUGUUGUGUCAGUACCUAUACAGGACUCAUCCUCCACUUGAGCACCAGCACUUUUCUUUGCAUCCUUCUUCCUCUUAUUUCCGAUGGAGGAACCAGCACGGUCCUCAUAGAAAUCGGCAUUACUUUUGUAAUUAUUAGCAUUGCAAUUUGGACACUUUUCCAAUGUUGCGUACUCACCGUGGUAAUAUAUGCAGUGGUUCAUGCACGCCUGUAUUCUUUGCACACGCAUCUUCAAUGGAUUAAUAAUUUUCUUUGCUUCGUCUAUGUUUCUUGGCACAAAGUUAGGCUUCGGGGGCAACUUGCCCAGCAGAGUAAGGCGAUCAUUGAAACUAUUGUCUGACCAGCCGAAUUUAUCCUUCAGGAUUAGAAGAUGGAGGACGAAACGCAACACUGUCUACUCAUUCCCACGUCCCUCAUACAUACAGUCAUUUGCUGCCUUCUUGAGUGUCUCAAAAUUUUCUAACCCUUUAGCACUUCCUAGCAACACUUCCGAUUUAAUGAACAUGUCCUCUAUAUCAACAUCACGUUCCUCGUCCGCCUGUGGUUCCACACGCGCAUCUAUUUGAUUACUAUUUUGAUCUCCACAGUCAUAAUUAUUAUCCAUCAUAACAUGAUCAUUUUCAUUUGCAUCAUUAUCACCUACUUCAUUAGAACCAGUAUCGGUGUCUGUAUUGUUGAAAAUAUCUCUUGCCUCACCAUGGUGGGACCAAAUUCUGUAUCCAUCCACAAAACCUCGCUUUAUCAAAUGCCUCUUGAUGACAUCAGUAUCCUCCCAUAUAAUAUUGUUGCUAUAGUCAAAACACGGACAACGUAUUUGUUUUGUCUUGCAAAUGCGAGCGUGCUUCUCCGCAGCCUCCACAAACUUUGAUACCUCUGACAUGAAUGUAUGCGAAUGUUUCCGUAUGCCAUACAUCCAUGCUCUAUGAUCCAUCUUUAACAACCUGUGACAACAAUUCUAAAUUAUAUUAACUAAUUUAAUGAGUUGUGGGCCACAAUUUUAUAAACUCAAUUAAAUUAUGGAUGUAGCAACUAAUAAGUAGGAAGAAAUAUAAUAAAAAAUAAUUCUAUAUUACCCUCAAUGAAACUCAACUAAACCAUGGAUGUAAUAAUUAAUAACUAGAAGAAAAAAAUCAAACUCAAUUAUAAAUUAAAUUCAUCAAACUCAUUAAUUAAAACUAUGGAUGUAAUAAUUAUAAGUAGGAAAAAUAUAAUCAAACUCAAUUCUAUAUUACAUUAAAAUGACAAACGUAGCAUUGUUAUAAUAUGACCAUAGAAUUUUAUUUAAAAAAUAAUCCAUCUCUAGUUAUUUUGUCUCUCUUCCCUCCUCUCUCUUCUGGGUCUAGAUCUAGAUCUAGAUGACAACCUAAUGAAGUUAGGUUAGCUGGAGAAGAAGCUAUUCGCGGCUUUAUCUAGGCGGCAUUUGUGCUGGCGAGCCACCUAACGCACCCACCAGCACAAAAAUGCAUCCCAUCUGUGCUGUCAGGCGCUUAGAUCGCCCGUCAGCAUAGAGCCAUAUGUGCUGGCAGGCACUAACCCGGUGGUCCCGGUCACCUUUGUGAUGGUGGCUGCCAAUUGCAUCACGCUAAUUUCAACGUGCCAGCAGAAAUCAUUAUCAUUUCUGACUUAGUGGCCGGCAGAGGAGGAAAGCCCAUCAAAUGCAAAGGUGUGUUGUUGCCUGCAUCCUGCUUCUCCUUUCUGCUCUUCCUUCUCCGAUUCUCCUUGCUCCAUCUUUUGCGCCGGAUCGGCGGAUGUGAAGCAAACAUGGCUGUCUCUGAUAAUGGUUGCCGUGCUCGCGCAGCGGCGGUGGCGUGGGACCGUGGCGAGCCGCUCUCGCUGAAGGAGGUGGAGGUGGCGCCGCCGGGGCGGCUGGAGGUCCGCAUCAAGGUGCUCUUCAGCUCCAUCUGCCACACCGACCUCAGCGCCUGGAAGGGAGAGGUACGCGUACAAACCUUGUAGAUGAAUUAUUAUAUAUAUCCCCACGCCCAAGUCACGGCCGUAAUUGGGCGUUCACCUGUUAAUUAAUCAUUCAUGUUUUGAUUAGUUUACUUGAUCAUUCAACUAAUCUCUGUUUAUGUGUAUUCUGCCAUGUGACGGUUCUGUUUAUAAUUGCUGCAUGGACGUGAUAGAACGAGAUGCAUCGCAAGUUUCCUUGCAUCGUCGGCCACGAGACAGCCGGGUGCGUAUAAUCCACUCUUUGAUUUUUGCUUUUAGGCCCUAGAAAUUUGAUCGAGUGCCCUUGGUAUUUUCUUAUGGGUGUUUAUUGAAUAUAUCUUUUUAUAAAGAGUUAAUGGCGUAUCCCUUCUGAAUACCGCUACGUUGACAUUAUACUCGUGGCUUGCGGUCAUAGAGUUUGCAUGUAGCUUUCAGGGGGGUGAAAUAUAAAUUUAUGAGUCAUCUAGACUUAUAACUUGUUGAAAACUUCCAUUCUCCGUUGGGGUUUUCUGGAAAUAAAGUGCCGUGAAAUUUUGACUUCCUUGGCACAGGAAUAUCUGUGUCAAAUUGUGGUCAGCGCCUGCAUGCAGCCGCAACUUCAAACACAUAAAUGAGCAAACUUUGACCCUAUCAGUUCACAGGAGGCUCCGGUUUUCUUAUUAAAAUUUUUGUAGAAACAUUUCUACAUAUUUUUUUGAAAAAAAAAACAAAGAUGUCUCCUGGAAUUUUUUGUUCUUUGGGGACUCGAUCUUGUCCUGGACUACAAACUCAAGUGUCAUCAGAUGGAAUUUACCAACAGUCUUUUCAGAUGAUUUUUGCUUUACAGUGAAUUUUUAGUACCAUUGGGACGCAAAUUUGGUGUUAAAAUGGUCAUAGCCACACCUGUUUGUGAACAAAUAUGUAGUAAAACAACAAAUAUUAUCGGCGACAAGGUAGUGGGUUUUUUAAACAAAUAUUCAAAGCCUGGAUCGAUCGAUGCAUCAUGCAUGGCGAUUAGACCAACGACCAUGGGACUGCAUCUAUAUACAGCUGCUAAUUUGUGGGCAAUAAAUUGGCCGUAUUGGCGGUUGGAGACGACAAACGACCAGUCUUGGAUCUUGCAAACGCCACCGAUGACCAUCUCUGCUCACAUGCCUUUGGGCUUUGGGAUGCCCCAUACAGACCUCAAGUUUCUUAUUCUUACUAGCAGGCUAGUCUUUUCUAAUCGAUCUGCUCUGCCUUUAAUAAACUAAACAUUUUACUUAGUGUGAAAUUUUUAUGUAUAAAGGGACAAAAAUAAAAAAGAAUCGUUACAAAAUAUAAGUAUUGCAUCUACAGUAACACUAUGUUUGUAGUGGCCCUAGCCGCUAAGGAAGAUUGGACACUGUAAUGCUAUCAACAUAAAAGCACUGAGAAGGAUAUCUUGUGCAGCCAAAAAAAAAGAAUGGUAUCUUCAAGUAUAGUACGUUAUUAUACCUGACGAUGACAUACGACUUACUGACAGGGUGGUCGAGAGCGUGGGCGAUGGAGUGGAAGAUCUCGUUCCUGGAGACCACGUCGUCCCCAUCUUCACCAGGGAGUGCAGGGAAUGCGUCUACUGCGGGUCCGACAAGAUGAACCUGUGCGGGAUGUACCGUGCGAACCUUUCAAGAGCACCAUGGUCUCCGACAACGGCACGAGGUUCUUCGUGGUGGAUGUGUCCUCCGACGUGCGCCGGCCGGUCUACCACUUCCUCAACACCUCCACCUUCACCGAGUACACCGUGCUCGACGCGGUCUGCGCCGUCAGGAUCAACCCCAAGGCCCCGCUGGAGAAGAUGUACCUCCUCAGCUGCGGCAUCUCCACAGUUAAUCAAGGAAUCAGCUUGGUAUGCUCUUGUUAGUUUUGUUUUUUUUUUUCCUUAUUGAUACAUCCAUGCACAUGCAAAUUGAGCUGGACUAUUUUGACAUGUGAGCAAACUGGAAUGCAACUGGACAGCGAAUACUGUCUGGACCUAUCUGUUAUCUAUAACAUCAUAUGAUUUAUUUGAUCUGAUUGAUUUGAGACCCUGAGUGGCAAUGGGCAGGGUUGCUGCCUCGGACCAGCUCUGUCUGAUGCUGCUGAACAGAGGCAUGUGCUCUCAGCCCAGGCGUACCUACCGAUGCAUCUUGUAUAUCAGUCAUGGCUCAUGGGACCGAGGUGUUUGGGUCCUUGCAAACUUUGACAACGAAUACAUGCAGUUGCUUUAUAGAUAUGUUUUUGACCGAAGAGAAGCUCCUACUAUCAAUUUUUUUUAAUUUUGUAUUCCAGUUAUGUUUAAUUCGUUCCUACGGGAAGUCGAAUCUGAUCCUACUAAAUGCUAAUGCUACUCAGGUACUCUAACCACUAUACUUAAAAGUCAUUUCACGUUGCUUUAUAGAUAUUGAUCCAAACAUCUCAGAAAACUAUAGCCAUGCUUUUAUUAGUCACUACUAGUUGCGUUAAGUUGUAACCAGAACUUGAGUCACGGUUAAUUAAGUUGUAACCAGAACUUUGCAGGACCUCGGACCAAAGAAAAGAAGCACUUAGGGUGCCCAGUUCUACAAGUUACUUUAUUUGGGGGCAAGUUUAAUUAUGACGGUCAAUCCGGUCACUAUCUCGCAAGUAUGCAAAUCGCUUUGAAAAUGAAGAUAGUUUGCUUGUCAAAUGAAAUUGUUGUCGUCGUGCAAGGGGUGGCUGCUUAGGGCCAUAAUUUACUGAAGAUGUGUGCAGGUGGACAGAGAUGCAAGGUGCCGUGUACUCACUCCGUUUCAAUCAGAAUACAUUUUUAGCUAUGUAUCUAAACAAAUAUUUAUCCAGAUACAUAAAUAGAAAUUUUACUUUUUCUGGGAGGGAGAGAGUACAUGAAUUUUUCCUUCUAUUUUCGUUUGUCGACUCUCUUUCUUUUAUUAAAACCUUAUUUAUCCCUAUGAUUAUUUUAUAAUAACCUCACGUUUCAUUGUUUUCUCUUUGGCAUCAGGGGUGGGAAGCAGCGUGGAACAUUGCAAACGUUUCCAAGGGUUCAACGGUUGCAGUAUUCAGGCUUGGUGCUGUUGGUCUUGCGGUCUGUAAAAUUAAAUUAUUUUGCCCAAAAUACAAAAAAAUUUACUUCACUAAACUGCUAAUCAAAUAUUGUUCAACUACUUUCUAGGUUGCCGAGGGUGCCAGGAUACCAGAGGGGCAGCCCGAAUCAUCGGUGUUGACAUAAACCCUGAAAGUUCACCAAAGGGGUUUGUAGCCACGUCACUUUUCCUUUUGUCCCCCUUUGCCUAUUAUUAUUACUCUCCUUUAGCCAUUUCCACAUCCUAGUCAAGUUACGAAACAAAAUAUCUUUUCAUCACAUGAGCAUGAUUUGACACUUUGGUCAAUCCCAAGUGCGCUGUUGUUAAGUUAGAUACCUUCAAAAAUAACAAAUGCAUGCGCACCAUGAUUGUUUGUUUAUUUUGAAUAAAAACAAGCGUAAUUUUGCAAAGAAAAACUUGGAUCUGUGAAUCGACAAGGAAGUUGAACAAUCCACUGGUUCCAACUUAUUACUCUUCCACCCAACACGUUGUAAAACAACAGUCUAUUUUCCUUCUGUUUUCUCAACAGAAUCCUAUUUUUUUCUCAUGUCACACACUGAAAUAUAAGAGCAACUCCAAGAGUAUUCUAAAAAAUUCUUCCCCAAAAUAAUGUAUUGGGGUUCUUCCAAAAAAUUUUCCCAAAAACAUAUCAGUCCACAGCAGAUCACUAAUAAAUAGCCUCUAAUAUUUCGAACAUAGGCCACGUCAUCAUAUUGGGCCCAUCGGAAGGGACGCGCGGGUGUGCGAGAAUCAGGAUUAGGGGAGGAACGCCAACGCUAAAAUAUACGCGGUGGCAGGCUAUUUUUUUAGCGUCGCUAAAAAAUUAGGGAAGGUUUAGGUGGAUUGUUGGAGUUCAUUUUUUCUCUCUUUUUUCCAAAAAAGGUAUUGGGGGUAAGAUUAGCAGCCUCUUAGAGUUGCUCUAAGCGAAUUAUAAAAAACGGAAGAAAAUAGUCCCGUGUUUCCCAAAGUAAAAUAACAUAGAGAAGAAAGACAACACCAAAGUUGCUUACUAAGAAGGAAAACAUUGGUAACCCUAAAGAAAGACAACUUUCUCUUGUUGAUAAUGUCAAUAAAGUAGACAGAUGCAUCCGCGGAGAACACACCUAGCUUGUCAAUUUCAAGGAAUCAGGAUGUCAUUUUCCAUAUAAUACCACUAGCAUAGCAGAACAGGAUAACUCUGAUAUUGCCACUAGGUCGACAUCAUGCAUAAUUUGGUAUCCUGCAAAAAUGGAUCUUUGGCCAGUGAAUUGCAGUUCAAGUGAAAAGAAUCUCAACAAAUUUUCAACUUUUAGAACUGCUAGAUAAAGCCAGAUAUAUUUUUUUCCAGAAUAUGAACAGCUGAACUAAUGAGUCGUGCCUAACAUACCUCUUAACACAAUCCGUAUUAAACAUAUGAGAUCUCGCAAGCUGGAUAGCAUGACCUGGAAAAAUGAAGUAUCUGCAUUCGCUUUAGAAAUUUUAAUAAAAAACUGGGAAAAUAGGAAAUGAUCAAACUUCAUGAAUGACCAGAAAAAAAUCAAUAUAUUUCCUUUCUUUCUAGAAACGAAGGCAGAAAUAAGGGGGUAUGCGGUACAGAAAUAUGUUUGAAAUAUAGAAUUUCCAUGGUAGACUAGAUGCCAACCAAACCAAGAUUUUCUCCUGAAAACACGAGGAUCUGGAAAAGUUGCCAGCACCAUGUGCACUGAUCUUUUUGUGAUUGAUGUUCUUUUUUUUCCAACGAAAAAAAUCAACCCUGAUACCAGACUUGUCAAUCAACUAAUAAGAAAUCAACAGAUAAUUCGAGCUUGUGUAUUAUUUCAAUCUGGCCAAACUACCUUUUCUUUUUCGAAAUCAAGGUAACUGAUGCGCAUAUUCAGUUUUGUACAACAUGGCGUUUGCUUCAUUUCCCUUUUGUUAUGGUGUCAACUGUCAACGAGUGUCCUAUGCAUAUUUCUGUCAGAGCACAAAGAAGGACACAGCAAGUUUGAGAGAAGAGGGUGGGUGCUACAUUGGGAUGUUUUCUGCACUGCUGUGUUGGAGAGGUUCGACAGAGAUCAGUAUCAAAUUCAUCUUCGGCAGUUGGAUCUUCGCACAAAUAUUGCUUAUGUAAACCUCCUUGUUCUUGUGUGGUUUCACCUUGUAUCGAUCAUGAAAAUGUGCUUGAAUAGUUGACUCAAUUUUCUUUAUCUGGAGAGAAGAGGCGCCCUAUGACCUCCCCUGCACACCUAUCGAUUUAUGAUCUUUCCAAAUUGAUGUACCACUUAACCAUUUUUACUAAAGUCACAACUGUAUAUCAUAGUGCCUAUAUGUUGAGGUCCUGUUUGGUUCCUUUAGGAUUAAACUAAACUUUAGUCCCCCUUAUUCAUUGAACUAACUUAUUCAUCGAACUAAAGUUUAGUCUCCCUGUUUGGUUCCAAUAACUAAAGGUCAUUAAAAUUAUUGAACAAAGACAAAACUACCCCUAAUCAAUACCUCCUGCUGCCCUUUCUCCCACCCCCGUCACCCAAUGCUCCCGCCAUGCCUUUCCGCUGGUCUUCGGGGUGAGGCGCGGCGGCGACGGCGGGGCGGGCGGGGAGGAGCGGAGCGGCGGCGGGCGGGCGGGAGCGGAAGCAGCGGCCGACGGGCGGGCGGGCAUUAAUGAGGGCCACACACUAUCCAAGGUCUCCUUUAGUCCCUUUUAGUAAUCUCUUGGGGUAAGGUAUCCUUUAGUCCCUUUUAGUAAUCUCUUGGGGAUUAAAGGGCUAAAGUUUAGGAACUAAAAUUAGCAACUUUUAGUUACCCUGUUUGGUAGUUUAGAGACGAACUAAAGUUUAGCAGCCCCAAACCAAACACCCUUCCGCACAUGUAACAAACCAACGUCGGAUAUCACCUACACUGAAUCCGACUAACUUGCUAGUUUUGCUUCCAUAUUCAUAGGUACAUUAACGGGUCCACAUCUAUUUUUUGGGCACACAAGAUACCAAAAUACCAUAAUAGAAAAUUGGAACAAUAUCUACAUGGUCAGCUCUCUCCUCCCGGCCGCCUCCUCUCACCUUUGUCGUUGGCUAUAUAAAUAAUCCAGCACGCCAGCCUCUACCACACUGGAGCUAAGAACUCCAUUCCCUGUCCCCAAAAGAAGAGUCAGAAGAACCCAGCCGAUGGACGGCACCAUGGCAGCAGCGGCGGCCAACGGCAACGGCAGCUUGGCCAACGGCGGCUCCGGCACCCGUGGGAAGCCCAUCAAAUGCAAAGGUGUUGUUGCCUGCGUCUGCUUCUCCUUUCUGCUCUUCCUUGCUCCUAUCUUUUGCGCCGGAUCGGCGGAUAUGAAGCAAUCACGGCUGUCUCUAAUCAUGGUUGCCGUGCUCGCGCAGCGGCGGUGGCGUGGGGCCCUGGCGAGCCGCUCUCCCUGGAGGAGGUGGAGGUGGCGCCGCCGGGGCGGCUGGAGGUGCGCGUCAAGGUGCUCUUCACCUCCAUCUGCCACACCGACCUCAGCGCCUGGAAGGGAGAAGUACGCAUAUACACACCUUGUAGAAGCCACGGCCGUAAUUGGGCGUUCACCUGCUAAUUAAUCAUUCAUGUUUUGUGCACAGAUGUCUGCCGGUGACUUGAUUAGUUUACUGUAGAUCAUUCAACGACUAAUCUCUGUUUGUGUAUCCUGACAUGUGACGCUGCUGUUUAUAAUUGCUGCAUGGACGUGAUAGACCGAGAUGCAUCGCAAGUUUCCUCGCAUCUUCGGUCACGAGGCAGCCGGGUGAGUAUAAUCCUACUCUUUGAUUUUUUUCUUUUUGGCCCUAGAAAUCCGAUCGAGUGACCUUGGUAUUUUCUUUUUCUUUUCUUUUUUUUUCGCGAGGACCCUUGGUAUUUUCUUAUGGGUGUUUAUUGAAGAUAUCUUUUUUUUAUAAGGAGUUAAUGACGUAUCCCUUCUGAAUACCGCUACGUUGACUUUAUACUUGUCGCUUGGUCUUAGAGUUUGCAUGUACCUUUCAGGGGGUGAUAUAUAAAUUUAUGAGUCCUCUAGACUUAAUUUGUUUAAAAUUUCCAUUCUCCGUUGGGGUUUUCUGGAAAUAAAGUGCCGUGAAAUGGUGACUUCCUGGGCACAGGAAUAUCUGUGUCAAAUUGUGGUCAGCGCCUGCAUGCAGCCGCAACUUCGAACACAUAAAUGAGCAAACUUUGACCCUAUCAGUUCACAGGAGGCUCCCUUAUCCAGCUUUUCUUAUUAAUACUAUAUAGAAAAACAUUUCUGUUAACUUUUUGAAAAACAAUUAACAAAGAUGUGUCCUGGAAUUUUUGUUCUAUGGGGACUCGAUCUUGUCCUGGACCACAAACUCAAGUGUCAUCAGAUGGAAUUUACCAAAAGUUUUUCAGAUAAUUCUCAGGCUUGUCUUUUUCUAAUCGGUCUUGCAAUUAUACGUUAUAUAUUAUACCUGACGAUGACACUUAGCUUGGCAUAACUCACAGGGUGGUGGAGAGCGUGGGCGACGGAGUGGAAGACCUCGUUCCUGGAGACCACGUCAUCCCCAUCUUCACUGGCGAGUGCAGGGAAUGUGUCUACUGCGGGUCCGACAAGACGAACCUGUGUGGGACCUACCGCGUGAACCCUUUCAAGAGCACCAUGACCUCCGACGGCGGCACAAGGUUCGCCGUGGUGGACGCGUCGUCCGGCGAGCGCCAGCCGGUCUACCACUUCCUCAACACGUCCACCUUCGCCGAGUACACCGUGCUGGACGCGGCCUGCGCCGUCAAGGUCCA
rnacentral:lncRNA from 1 species